rnacentral:lncRNA from 1 species
UAUUUAUUUGCUUCUAAAAUAGAAAUUCCCUACUUAAUCAUCCCAUUGUGUUUUAUUUUAUCUCCUCACUCCGUUACUCUUAUUAACUCACGGCUUGAGAAGGAAAAAAAAAAAAACACCCUCACGGCUUGAUGUUCUCCUCUCUUUAAAAAUAAAAAUCCCUAACUACUCUGUUCAAACUCAUUGAUAUCGCUUUUCACCACCAAAACAGCCACUCAUCUCUUUAUUUAAGCACAAUGUUUUCUUUUUUCAAACCUAAUUGAUCAUUCUUCAACGUCUCUAGGAUUAUAUAUGGUAUGCUAUUUUUUUUCCUUCAAUUGAAUAGAAAGUCUGGAACUUUUUUUUUUUUUUUUUAUUUCAUUCACUUUUCCCUUGUUGAGUAGUAUGGACGGAGAUCAUGACAAUAAUUGAACAAUGGGGAUAAAUAUCAAAUAAAGAGCGUACAUGCCCUAUAUCCCUCUCUUUGGAUGAUAAUGGAGGCGAGGUUUCAAAGUACAGAGCUUUGCAUGUCUUAGUUGUCAUUUAUAUUGCUGCACGCCAAUUGCUUGAUAAAAUACCGCAACGAAUAUGCAUUCUUGAUUUCCUUGUAAAUUUAUUUUCCUAAUCUGAAGACACUUGAAUGUUUAGAGAAUUUUGAAAGCUUUGGUGUAUGCAUUAAUAUUUUGAUCCGAUUUAUGUUGUUUAACUAAUGAAGAUGAUGAAUAUAGCCUCUUUUUGCCCCAUUUGUUUUUAUUCUUGUGCUUCAUAUACGGUUCAAGUGUGAUAUACUUUAGUUUUUCUCAAGUGUUUGUUCCUGGCUAUGGUAAUGAAAACAAAUAAUGAGUCUAUUUUUUUUUCUGUCUUAAAACAAAUAAUGAGUCUUCAUGUUUAUAAUAAUUCUUACAAACUUCAUAUGGUUUGGCAUAAAAUUAGGUAAUUGGAGAGGCCUCAUGUUGGUUGAAAUUAUCAAUUAUAUGCAGUCCCUACAAAAUUAAGUGGAGGUAACUUUGCUACUAAAAACCUUAUUAAAGUAAUAAUGAAUUAAUCUUGUGUAAUAUAUUUUUGUAUUCCUGCACAACUUUUUAUAUUUUUAUUUACUGAGUUUUUUGCUUUUUUUUUUGCACUAUUUUCUCUUAAUUUCGUGCAAUAUUUUUUUACUAUUUCUAGGUCUUUCUAUCUUGUUUUUGGAUCACUACAGUUGCUGGUUGUGAUUUAUUGUAGCCUAUGGUUUUAGGUCUCUAUAGUUACUGAGUUUUGUUUACUGCAGCUACUUUAUUAAAGUACUUUUAGAUAUUGAAGUUUAUGGCUAACUUUUAUUAGAUGCUUCUAACUUUUGUUGAAACAUUUUCUUAACCUUUACAUUUAAGAUUUUUUUUUUUAAAGUAAUUGAAUCCUUACUAACAUUUUCUAACAAAAUCAAUUACAGAAACGAUGAGGAAAAAACAAGCAGAAUCAUUGUAAGGUGUUUUCUAUGCAUCGUCGUUGAUCAAGUCUCAUGUGCAACAUCUAAAUGAAAUGGUACUUGAAAUAAUAGAGACUUUGUUUUAUGACUCUUACAUUUACAUUUCUUUGUAAGGAAUCAUAUUUAUUUGGAUUUCAAUGUCAUGCUUUGUAUUUGAAUCGCUUAGAUUAUAAUUAAAUAUUUUAAGGUCUUUUUUCAUGUGACUACAAUUUUUUGGUCACUAGAUUUCAAUUUAUUUGACUACAAUAUGUCUUGGUGGAUUUUUUUUUUUUAAAUGAUGAUUGAGAGUAAUCACUUUAAUUUUUUGGAUACGAUAUAAAUAGUUGUCAAAUAAUAAAAUAUAUUGUGGUUAAAAAUAAUGUGAGACUAUAUUAGAUAUAUUUUGUAAUGAAUGGAUCUGUCACAAAAUGUUAAUUUUUAUGACUAAAUAUGGUUGUGGCAAAUGUUAACUUUUUAUGAUAAGAGAUAAUGGUCAUCUAAAAUUUUUUGAUACAAUGUAAUUGAUCAUGAAAUAACAAAAUAAAUUGUCCUUAAAACAAAUUUAAAACUAAAUUAAUGGCCAAUUGUAUCUACAAAAAUUGUCACAAAUGACAACUACUUGAGAUGAUUAUGUAACGUCGCGAUAUACAAACUUCAAUGACAGAAAAAUAGCGUUGCUAAUUGUAUUUUCGAACCUCUGAAAUGGUGGUUAUUGCGACUAUAUUUACAUACUCAGACAAAUAUUAUAGGCACUAUAAAUCAUCUAUUGUGACAAAUGUCAAGUGUCAUUGAUUACAUUUUUGUAUUUCUAAUUUGACCAUUUUGAAUACCAUUUGUGACAAUUUUAAUUUAAUUUUAAGACAAUGAUUUUUGUCACAAAACCAUAUUUUUUACAUGACGAAAAUAAUUUUGGUCGCUAGAACCUUUUAAGACGGUCUUUCCACGACUAUCGUGUGACUAUUUAUUUUCUAUCAUAAAAAAUAUAAAGUGACUAACUUCUUAUCUUUAGUGACUAAAAUUUUUGUAAUAAAAUAUCUUUUUUCUUGUAGUGUUAACCAUUGUUGCUUUUGUAUAACUAUUGUUCACGAGAAGACAUGUAAUUUGAGAUACUUGCCUCAAGGAGAAAAUGAGCCACCAAACUUAAUAUAAAAAAAAGUUUGUAAUACAAAUCAAGUAUUAUACAUUGAGCUAAAUUUUGCAUCAAGAAUCCCUUUUCUUUGCCAUCACUUUUUUUUUUUUUUUGAGGUUUAGGGUUUGAAAGUUUCAAAAGUUUUAGUCCAUUUUAUAUGGGAGAAUGAGAGAGAAGUUACUUACAUUUAAUUUGCAUUUCCUUGUUUUUUCCUCAGCGUAGUUUCAAAAAAUUGUAUUGUUAGUUUGAUAGCUUAAAUAAGAUUUUUUUUUAAAGCAUCCUCAUCAUUUUUCCUGUGCUUAUGCCCUUGCUUGCCUCUGGCUUUUAAAAAGCAUUGUUUGGUCUUUAUGCGGUAUUGUGAUAGAAACUGCCCAUUUUCGGUCUUGUGUAAAUUUUUUAAUUGGUGGCCUGCUUGAGUCGGUUUGUGAUUCUUUAAAACAAACAAGAGUAUAGAAUCUACAAGUAUAAACUAAGCCAACUAUGUUAACUUGGGAGUUUUUAUUCAUAAUAUUCAAAGACUAAGAUUGAUUUUUCGUCAAUUGGGUGUUCCAUUUUAAUCUUGAAAUGGUUCAGUUUCUCAUACACAGCCAAAUUGACUAAUUAUUAGAACUAGAAGACUAAUAAGUAAUACAUUUAUUAGAAUAGUUCUCGCAUUAUGAGAUGGUAGGCUACGUUUGGCAUACAAGAUUAUAUUAGACUGAUUAUUAGGAUUGGACUAAAUUAGAUUUGAUUGGAUUAAAGUGGACUACAUAAUACUAUUUUAUGUUUUGUACAAUAUCGGAUUGGACUAUAGUAAAUUAUAUUUGAAUGAAAUUAAAUAGCAUUUAAAUUGACAUUACAUUUAUAUAUAAAUAUUAACUAUUCAUAAAUGUUUAAUGAUAAAAUGUUUAUUAAACUUACUUUUAAAGACAAUUAAUAAAAAAUUAAAUAUAUAGAAAAUUAGCUAUUAGGUAGUCAUAAUUAUAAUAAACAAAUAUAAGUUAAUUAGAUUAAAUUAAAUUAAGAAAUAUUUAAAUAUUUAAUUUAUUUUUUAUUACAUAUAUUAAAUAUGUUUUAUUUUAGCAAAAAGUUGGCAAAUAAUAUGUAUAAAAGCAACCGAUUAUUGGUUAUUAAUUUUCAUGAUAAUUUUAAUUUAAUGAUUAUCAAAUUAAAUAUUACAUUAGAUUUACAAAUGAUAGUUAAUUAAAUGGAUAAUUAUUUUUAAAAUUAAUCCUAAUUAGAUCCAUAUGUAAAUUGGGAUUGCUGAUCUCUGAUUUUAAGAUUAAAUUCAAAUUUAGUCCCCUAAUCUAAUCCAAAGUGAAGCUUGUCCAAUAUAAGAUAAAUAAUUAAUCUCAAAAUUAAUCUAAUCCUACUCUUAAUCAUAGCUUCUAAACAUAGCCUUGGAGUGUUAUUCACUUAUGGUGAUUAUGUACUAGCUUGGUGCUUGAAGUGGAGUUGGGCAUUUUCCUGCUUGUGACUCUUGUAAUUAGAAGCUUCAAUUUUGUUUAUGGUUGCCUCACUUGUCAUUUGCCAAAUAUAAAUGUUGUUCGAUGCACUCCAUCUUUGAGUGCCCAAGCCUUUUGUAGGUGCAGUUAGAAGCAGACAGAGUGCAUUCAGUACUAUUUCAAACUCCUUGUUAGACUCCGAAUCAGAAGACUUUCAGAAGCCCGUUGCAACCAACUUGGGUCUUUACCAAAGUUCUUCAACUAACUGUUAACAGCUUUUAUGUUUUGGAGUUCUUAAAACAAAUAAUGGUACAUUUACCGAUCGAUAAUCAGAAUAAGUUGGAAGUAAAAUAUGUUGGAAUCCGAAUGAGAUAAAAUGAGAAUGGGAAAUGAGAAUCAGAAUAAAAUGUUUACUUGAACUAAAUGAAUUAGAACCAGAAUGAAUUGUAUUUCCGUUGAUAUAUUUAUUUUAUCAUGGUAUCGAAAUAAAUUGUUACAAAUUAUUAGAAUACCCUAAAUUAAUGAUUGUCCUUAUUAUCAUUAUUAUUUAUUAUAAUAAUUGUGAUUAUUAUUGUUCAAGAAACAAUAAUAAUGAUGAUGAUGAUGAUGAUGAUAAUCAGCAUCAUCAUUCUCAUAAUUGGCAAUCAACGAUUGUAGCAAUGAGAUCAAAGAGCUACUGUUGGUGGUGGUUUGCUUGAGACACGAUCAAUUGCUGCCACUGCUAGUUUGACGUUUCCAACAAGAUUGACGUGUGGCUGACGAUCAACUACUACUGCUGGUGCUGAAGAAGGCCGAUGACGUGAUUCCAACCAGUGCCAUGCGAGAUCAACGGCUAUUGGUAGUCUAAAAUAAUAAAUUAAAAGUGUUUGUAGCAUUUUUUUAGUUAAAAUUUAAAUUUAAACAAUUAUAAAUAGUUUGGGGUAGGCCCGCGUUUAGGGUUUAGGAUUAAAGUAAAUCUGGUAUUUGAAUGUAAUUUUAUCAACCGGACGUAUUCGAGUUUAGGCCCACGUUUAGGUGAACCUGCAUAUUCAAAAUCCGGACCUGAAUAUCUUUAUUUUAAUAUUAUUUUUAACAAUUUUUAGUAUAGAUUAAAAAAAAAGAGUAAUGAUACAUCUACAAACUCUUGUACAAAUUUAUUUUGUACAAACUGACGUGUCAUUAAUUCAUUGGUUGAAUGAAAAUAUAAAAUAAUAAAAACAAAUCAUGUGGGCCAAGUGAUAUUUAAUUCAACCAAUCUUAUCAUGCCACAUCAGUUUGUACAAAAUAAGUUUGUACAAGAAUUUAUGGCUAUAUCAUUACACUUAAAAAAAAUAUGCCCAUGCUCUAAUUCACACUCACAGUGCAGCCAAAGCCGUUCUUUUCUUCUCUCUUCAGCUCUUCUCCUCAAAACCCAUUCUUUUACUCUCUCUUAAGCUCUUCUCUUUCGAAGCCAUUUUUUUCCUUUCUCUUCAGCUUAUCUCUUCAUCAAAAUCAUUGUCAUCACUCAUAAUCGCUUUCACCACCUUCGAUGUUCAUGUUCAUCAUCAUCAUAGCCUCCGUUUGUCUAGUUGUGUCACAAGUUUUGGCCACUGUUUGUCUACCUUCGCAAAUUGCAAUCGCGGUUGUGAUGCUAUGUUCAUCAUCAUCAUCAUAUCAUUAACAGUCGCCGUUCAUUACUUUGCUGGAAGCUGAUCCUUGAAAUUCAUGAAUACUGAAGUUUUAAUUGUAGAGACUUAUGGAUUUUAAUUUUCUGAAUGUUAUAUUAUGAAUUUGUAUUUGUGAAAUUUUUAUUACUUUAAAACAUUGAAAUUUAGAAUUUGUAUUUGUAUUUGAUUUUUUUACUUGUUUUUUUAUAUUUGUGUGUGAUCCAGGUUUAUUGCGGGAAUCCCGAUUUUCUCGAGUUUAACCUAUUCCAGACCCGAAGUAAAAAAUUUGAGCUUAGAUUCUGAUCUGGUACAAUAUUUUAGUACUGAAGUCUAAAACUGAAAAAAAAAAUUGAAAUCGGAUCCAGAUUUUGCCAUCCCUAAUUUAGGAGUCUCCUCUGUAUAACUUAAACAUAUGUGCCCAAAAACAUCGACAUAUACUAUUCCACAAUUGAAAUAUUUAUAAUAACAGAAAUUUGAGUUCCCUGAAGGACUCAAACUCUUCUCCACCCCAUAUGUGACCUACCACUAAUUAAAGCGGCAUCUGAAAGUUUGUUCGUUAUAGAUUUGACAGUGGUGCGGGACAAAAGUUGCUAACUCUACUCAUUAAUAUGUUUUGAUUUUUCUUGCCAUCAAAGAAUGUUUAAAUUGUAAUAGAAAAACGUUCAAAUUACUUGAAAUUUAUUAUAAAGUAUCUUCAAAAUUUUUGUGUAAUUCACGAGGGAUCCAACAAUUUUAUGGGACAAAUGCCCCACACGUUCCUUCAAAAAACGUAAUAAAAUACACAUAGACGUUUCAUAAAUUAAUAAAAAAAAAGUUAUUUUGACUAAAAUAUGUCUUUAUAGAAGAAAAUUUGUAGUAUAUGCGCUGCCUCCAGGCAAAUCAUAUCUUGAAGUGUUAUACUAUUUGUUAAUGGAACUGACUGUCGAUAUAGUACAUUUCUACUUGAUAAUUUAUUAAUUUUUGUUAUAUAAUAUCAACAUGUUGAAAUGAAUGUUUACGAUCAAUCACAAACACAAUUGGUCAAAUGUGUCUAGCUACAUGGUUUUUUAUAGUGAGCAGUAAUGGAACGAAUGCCCCACAUGUUUUUUUGGAAAUUAUUGAUAAAAAUGAUGCAAAUGGGUGCUUUCUAAUAAAUUUAUUUUGACUAAUUCAACAUCAUACUGUUCAAUAAAAGUGGAUUCUCACAUCAUUUGUACAUAUCACUAAAUUUGUCUUAAUACAUAUGUUUGUGCUUCCACAACAAAGCAUUUGCUCUCUCUCUCUCUUUUUUUUUUUUUUUUUUUUUUUUUUCUCUUCUCUUGGAAUUUUGAUAUGAGAUCUUUGUGGCAGAAAAAAUAAUCAUGGCGUCCAAUGUACUUGUACCGAUAAGAUCCAUUAUUUUGUUAUAGAAUCAAACAAUCAUAUCACUUUUGCCUUUAUUUCAAUUUCUAAUGGGUGGUUUAUCUCCUUUUCUCUAGGAUUUAUUAGAUAUGUGCAGUUUGACGAUUAGGAAUUGGACAAAUUCCCAAUAUAUCAAAAGGCAUAAUUGCCAACAAAGUUGGCUUAUCUACUUGAAAGUGGGAUGAUGAGAAAUGAUCAUACUUGUUUCAAUGUAUUGCAUUUAAGAAAGACAAUUAUUUUGACUAAAAUCAAGUAUUAGAUACAAAAGUAACAACUGUAUAUUAAACAUUGAUGCAUCCGCACGAUUCUUUAACUGAUUCACUAAUUGAUUUGACAACGUCAUUUGAUUGGGGUAACUAUUGAACUUUAAUUAUUCUUUGAGUUAAACCCGCUAGAUUUUGUAAUAAAAAAUCUAACGAGCCAAACAACACCCCUCAACCACGCUUCUAUGAUUAGCAACUACACGAUUAAUAGUUGCUUACAUCUUCUUCCCCACCCCCCCCCCCCCCCCGCCCCCAAAAAAAAAGAAGUUCCACUUGUAAAACUUAUAAUCAAACCUCUGAUUAGUUGCAAAUCCUAGUUAUUGGGAUUUGCUUGGGAUUAACAUACUAACUUCCAAUCUAUCUAGUUGUAUAAAUUAUUGUAUUUAGAGAUAGCAAAAUCGGGUUCGAGAUUGGGAUCCGGAUGUAGGUGCAUUCGGAUCCAAAUUCGCAUAGUUAUUUUUAUAUUCGGAUUCAAAUUCGAAAAAAAAUAUGCAGAUAUGGAUGCGGGUAAUAUCCGCAUGGAUUACGGGUGAAUAUUCUAGAUAAACAAAUCCGCAUAAAUUAAAAAUUCAACAAUUCACCUAAUAAUAUCAAAUAAAAUCCAAUCAUAAUUAACAAUCAACAAUUCAAUACCUAAAAUAACAUACAACACCAUAAAUUUACAAACAAAAAUAUCACAACAUAAAUCAAAUAUCAAUAAUAACAUAAAUCUAAAUCUAACACUCCCACAAAUCCACAAAUAAAAUUAUAAAAACACUACAAAUCCACAUAAAAUAAUGUGGAUCCCAAUAUAUAUAUAUAUAUAUUACUUUAGCUUCACUUAUAUAUUUUUUAAUUAAUUCUAUUAUGUUUUUUUCAUUUAACUUAUAUAUUUUUAUUUAAUAAAUAAUUUAAUUAAAAAAUAAUUCCAUCCGCCCCUGUUUAUAAACCUAGUAAAGUUAGAAAUUUUUUUCGAUGAUAUCCAAAAUUGCCACAUUUCCUUAAGGGGACACUAUGAUUAAGAUAAUGCCUUCACAAAACUCAUGACACAUCAGAGCGAGAAGGUAUCACUUAGAUCACCUCAACAAUCAUAAAAAAAUAUCAUUCUAACAGCUAUUAAAUCGUAAAAAGAAGACAUAACUGAAUAUGAAUAGUACCUGCACCAAUAAAUUCAAGUGCUCUCUUAGUUUUAUUAUCUUAUUUAAAAAAAAUGAUAAAAGGAAGCUAUCCACUGUUCAACAAGGAUAAGUCACAUGCUUAAAAGGAAGUACUCCCUUCUAAACUUGCUCAGUGUCCAACCUACGAAAAGAUUAUGCAAUUGCCCUACUGGAGGGGGAAAUAGCCAUAUAUGACUCACCACUUGUCCAAAAAGACAUAACAAUAUUCUCAGGGACACUCCCAAUAUAUAACGUAAGGUUAACUCUAAAGAUAAGGUCAUUAAAUACAUAAAAAAGACUCAUCUUCAACCUUGAAUUAUGGUUUUUGAGAAACCCAAUAUCCCUCACUGACUUACAUUGGAGUGCUACUAACGGGCACACUGGCAUCUCCUCUAACACUCUCUUCCCUCAUUUGCAGGUUUGGAGUGAGCCUUUCACCAAAAUCCUACCCGAUAUCAUUGGUCUAACCUAAAAUUAAAAUAACUAAGCAUAAUAGAAAGAAAAGUUGGGACUAAGUAGCUAAUCAAAGAGCUUCAAAAUGCAUUAAUCCAAGAAUUUGGCAAUAUCAUUAGAUAAUUAACCAAUACCUUUAAUGUUAACAUCAAAUCUUCAUUUCGUUAUACACGUUGUAUAUUGCUUGGUUCAUGCAUUUACUUUUCAAUGAAUUGAAUGAAGUUGGUGGCUCUCGUUGCAUUCUUUCUCGUAACCAAUUACUAGAUGGAAUAUAUGCCCCACUCUGACUCAACAUAAAUCACAUUUUUCUUUAUUUCUUUUUUUCCUGAAAACCUUCACAAAAUCAUGUUUGAUUGCUUAUAUGAAAUGACCAAUAACAAUAGAUGGGAAGUUUUUGGUUGAUUUGGCUUAUUAGUUACGUAGUUUUUAACUAAUGGAGAUAAUUAAAGGGGACAUAAUGAACUUCAUCACUAAUUUAAUAAAGUUUUAAAAUGAACGUAGAUUUAAGAGAUCAAAGAAAGGUGGAAUAAUAAAUUAUUGAAAUAAAGUGACCAUAAUACCUUAAUCUUAGUGAAGUAUUACAAAAAUUACUACACCUAAAAUUGAAAUUUGUUUGGUAAGGAUCUGACAGCAUUAUUAUAUUUGACACUAUAUCAACUCUUUAACCUUCGUUACAAAAUCGUGAUUCUCUCCUUACUGAAUUCCUGGGUAUGCAUUUGAAUUGGAGCAAUUCGAAACUGACUAGGUGCAGCUAAGAUUUUUAAAAGACCGUAAAUCUUUUACCAGAGACAUUGUCGAUUUAUUCCAAAAAAAAAAAAACUUGCAUUUUGGCCACCAACGAAUGCUUUACAUAAAUUGCACAGUCACAUCAUCGCUCACCCCACUCUUUCUCAGUGUUUUUAUCUUCAACUUAGGAACGUGUACCUUUAAAAAACCAUAGACCCAAAAUCAUGAAAAUGGAGAACAAGAAGACAUGUUUCUGGAUUCUCAUCAAAUUUUGAAGCUACAACUCUACCUAUAGCUAAAGAUUUGCUAAGAUUUUUGACCCACACGCCUUGUUGGUACUCAUUUAUCUUUUUUCCUAUAAAAAUGACAUGAUCAUAAAGCCAUGCGCCCCUGCCUUAGCUAUCAAUAUUUGCAUUCAAAAGGUCAAUGAUUGGAUUACUGCAAGCCUACAAGUGACAUAUACUUUGUGAAUAAAUUCAGAUGGCAAAUAUACUUGAAACUUUCCGCAACUACAUAGCCUUGAAGAAUUCACCCUUUCUAAGUGUCUUUUAAUAUUUUAUUUGAAGAAUUGCCAUGUUCGUAAAAUUAUUGAGAAUGGUGUAAUAUUUGGAGAAAUAAGCCACUUUCAUAACAUAAAUGGUAUGAAUUUCAACUCCUGAGAAAUUAUUAAUUAAUAGAAGAGUCCAAGCUGAGAGGUCAUUAAUAUCUAUAUCUGAAGAUUGAUUCAUUUUUUUAAUUUCGUCCAAUCGUCAGUUUAUUGUUCUACUUCACUUAAUUGAGUUUGAGUAGCACGUACCCUUCUCAAAUUAGAUGCCAAAAUUUAAACACCCUUAGAAUUCGAAACACUUAUUUAACCUAAUUCAAACUUAAUAAUUGUCAUCAAACCGAAAAGGAAUAAGUUGUUUUUAUUUGCUUUAAUUGGUUCACUACUAGUUGUUUUUAUUUGCUUUAAUUGGUUCACUACUAAUCACUAGCUUGUGUUGGUUAGGGUUUCCUAGAUCUACUUGGUAGAUCCUCAGUUUUUAUCUCCACUUGAACUUUGAAUCUUUGCUUCAAACAUUUAGCAAUACUGAUCACCACAUGCAUGUUGACGAUUCUUUGCUUCGAGACGAUUUAAUUUUAACGGCGAAUUAAAAGUGACAGAGAAAGACCAAGUUCAGCUAACCUUGUAGGCACAGUCUUCACUAUUUAUGUAAUUGAACUAAAACUACUUAAAUUCGUUCUUAAUUUGUAAACUGCUAGCUGCCUACAAUGCCAUGGCGCUUGUCGACUUCAUUAAUUGAAAAAGCAAAAGAACCCCAUUGUUGACAGUGAAAUAUCCAGAGAAGAUGCCUUUAAUAAUUGAAGCUUUAUUUGCAUAGUUUUAGUAGUGUAACGAUAACGUUUGCUUCUCUUGACUUCAUAUCCGGUUAGUACUGUUUUCAUAUUAGAUAUUUUUGGACACAGACAGUUCUCAUUUUUGCAAUCGUUUUAUUAUUUUUAUAGAACAUCAAUUCUUUUUAAGAAAAUUAUACUGCUGUAAAAAAGUAUAUCGGACCAACCUUAUAGUUAGCACAACCACAAAGGAUGCGGGUAAUUCUUGAGCUAAUUAAUUAGUAUAUCGGCUUAACAGGUCAUGAACUAACAAACUACCUUUCUGAAUGACAAAGAUAUCAAUAAAAAAGAUUGGACUAUACGAGAGUCAUCUCAUGCAUGCAUGAGCGAGUCCAAAUUACAAUUCUAUAUAAGAAAGACUUGUAAGAACGAUUAAUAUACAAGGUAAGAGGGUGUUAGUCUUUUAACUUAAUGACUUAAAGCAACUUGACUUAAUUAAUCAAAUUAACUAGAGGUGUUUGUUUUUUAAUUUAAUGAAAUUUUUUAAAUAAUUUUGAUUUAAUAAAGUAAGUCAUUUUUUUUCGCUUUUUACUGAAUAGAGAAAUAUGAAUCAGCCAACUAAUUUCUAAUGUAAAGAAUAUCCCUACUUUAUUAUUUAUUUUUCAUGCCAAUUCUAAAACCCGCCUCUACACUUUUACCCACUUAUAAUCUCAUCUUUUUUUUUCUUUAGCCGUCAUGGAAUCCCUCCUCACCUUAUUGCUCUCAUCAAAUUCUUGAAUCUCCCAUUAUCGGUGAUGAAAGGUGUUAUUCUUCAACUUUUUAUAUAAUUAUAGAAUCUAUUUUUAUUAAAAAAUUUAUAUAUUAUAAUUCUAAAAUCAUUAUAUGUGUGUGUGUGUGUGCGAGCACACACACGCACUUAACAUUUAAAUUUAAUAAGGAUACAAAUAUAAAAGUACUUAUUUUUAAUUUUUAAAGUUAAAAAAAAUAACUUAAUACUUAUUUUCAGAUAUUCAGACAAAAAAAAAAAAAUAUUAUUUAGAUUCAAAAUUUAGGUCUAUUAAAAUUUUAGAUCAACUUAGGUCUAUUCAGAUUUAAGAUAAAAAAACAAAUAUGACCUAAGUUAAAUCAUGCAUGAAUAGAAUCCAAACUACCUUUCCACUUGACAAAAGUUAAUUAAAAAAAAAAAAAGUCUACAGAUGAGUAAGAGUUCUAAUGCGAUAUAUUCAAAUCUAUCAAGAAUAGUUCUUGGGCUAAGCAAACACCACUUCUUCUUCUUCUUCUUUUCUUGUUUCUUUUCAAAACUAAUGAAAAUACUCUUAAAUACAAACGUUUCUGUUUUAUUUUUAACCUAAAUUUGAAAAGCAUGAAAACAUGUUAAAUAAGUAAAACUUUUCAAACUAAUUUCUUAAAUUUUAAACAAUUAUGUUCAAGUUUAGAUGGUCAAAGAAGAUAUGAUUCAAUUUGAUGUUCAAAUAAGUGUGUUAUCAUUAAUAGAUCAGUCAAUUUUAUUUACUCAAAUUUGAUUAUGAACCUUUUCAAGCCUAUAUCUAGCCACUUUCAAAAUUACCCAAAAUACGUAGGAAGCAAAAUACACAUGAAGUUGUUUACAAAAUUGGAGUGAAUGCAUGAAGCUAUAGUACUGGAAUUUGUGUUGGUUUCAAGCUAUAGCUGAGUUUGGUGACCUGAACCUAUCAGCAAGAAGAAGCAUGAAGCAUGAAGUAUUAGCCGGCCAAAGCCCUAAUUCAAAGAAUGUAAAUGGGAAUCCAUGCAGAGUUCAAAUUUAGGUACAUGAAUGCCAACCCUAGCCCCAUUAAAUUAAUAAAAAAAUGUAUAUAUUAUUACUUUAUGUUCAAAGCUUUUGACUUAUGCAGUGAAGGAAAGAGAGGUUAAUGGGAAUACAAAUAAACUAAUUAAAUGGGCUAUCAACGUCAGACAAGCAGUAGGUAGCAUGACAAAUAUAAUGAGAUAAUUAGUUAUAUAAUCGUUAAUCAAUUAACAGUUUUUUUUUUUUUUUUGUCAUUUAGAAAAAAAAAAGGUUCAUUGUUUUGGUUGAAUAAUUAUGUCAUCUUAUUAAGAAGCAAAAGAACGCAGAAGUGAGUGUCGUUCAUUUUUUUUGUGGAUAAUUAUAACUGUUGUAAAAUUGUCUUGUGUGGGGAAAUUUAAUUGUUAAAUUCUGAAAUCAAUUGUUUUAGAGUUGUAUUUAGACGAUAAACAUAAAAAUGAUGAGUUUUCCCCUAGAUCUUGUAAUUAGAGGUCGUACUCAUUCAAACUUGAAAUAAGUAGAACUACGAUAAAUGUUUGGCAAUGAUAUGAAAGUAACGGGAAAUGAUUUAGAUAGUUUUUAAAAUUAGAGAGACAUAUUUGCCUCAAAUCUAAAAAAACUAAAAGAGCAUCUAUCCUAAAAAUUUCUGCUAUAGAGUUUAGAUCACACAAGUAGAUGUUAAUCUCUAUUGAUUUAAUGAUAAUAAUCUAAUAGAUUAAUUUUGGCGUCUAUUCAGACUCAAUCAGCUAUAUACAUUUAUAGUAAACUUAAAAAUUUACAGAGUCCAGCCAAAAAAAAUAUACUUCUAUUACAAUUUUUUGUGGAAAGGUUCGAACUUUUGCCCUGUUAAACCCUAUUUUAUGUUUAAAACCUAUCAAAAACUCAAUUUUUGUUAAACAUUGUACAAAGAUAAAAUCUAUUCAAAUCAUUGCAAAAAGUGCUUUUAAAAUCCCAAUAAUUUAAUUAUCUUUGGGCAAAUUAACUCGAAUAAAAAGACCCCAUAUGAAUCUGCAUGGCUGGUCUUGAACUGUCACUAUUAACAGAUGCCAUGGUUCACUGUAACACAACUCCACUCAAUCCUAAAUGAAAUGAGUCCUAGUACUUAGACAGUUAAGACACCGUGGAAUCAAUGAAUCUCCCUUAAACAAUUAGGGUACAUUGAGCUCCAAUCAAACAAACAAAUAAUUAUUUAAUUAAUGAAACCAAUUAAAUUUCAUGGUAUCCUAUUCAUCAGCAUUCAUCAGUUGGUCUUGAACUGUCAUACACGUGGCAGACGUCAAUUUACUCUGCACUUCUUCAACAAAACAAGUCAAACAAUUUGUUAAUCAAACCAAAUAUGUCAUGCAAUAAAAUACACAUUUUCAAUGUUUUAAAUAAUGCAACAAACCGACAAAUCAGAAAUGCCGGUUUUAGGAGAUUCUAAUACAACUUUAUUAACCGACCUUUAUUUGCAAGCAAGCUCACAUCCUCAGACAAAUAUAAAAUUAAAAUUAAAAUAUCCCCAGUAGCUUGGCAUAAAAAAAAAUAAAAAUUUGAGGAUUAAUUAGUAAGCUAAAGCUAAGCUAAGAAAGUUAAGAUUCUGGCCGACUUUUCUUGGGUUUCAGAGAAUGACAGCCAACAUACAGAACGUAAAUAGUCGGCGCAGUUCAUUUGAAUCAAUAUUAUUAUUGGAAUUUGGAUUUUUAAGUUCAUUUUUCGCACGAGAAUUUUAUAGAUUUGGUCAUCGAAUCUUCUUAAUAAUCUUAAGUUUAUUGUACUCUCUACUAGGCAAGCGGUUGACGAAUCAUUUAAGCAAAAAUUUUAAUGUAUAGAUCCUAGCGCUACUAGCUUCAUCAACUUGCCAUUUUGUUGAGAGAUAUUUUAUACAAUUAUAAUUAAUUAUGCAAUUGUGGCAUUUCUAAUUCGGAAAUAUUAACGAACCUAUACCAAAAUAUUUUAUUAAACUCUCACAAUUAUUUCAUCGUAUGUGAUUCAAGCAUGAGGUUCUUUAUGAAGUCAAACAAUUUGAUUAGUUAACUUGAUUGUUUGUUUCUUCUUUGAUAAAACAUAAGUUCUUUAAAGAUGGGGUCUUUUUUUUUUUUUUCUUGUUUCUUUUUAUCAAUAUAUUAGACAAUAAAAGAGUUCUUUAGAGUAGACAUCUACGUUUUAAAUUGUAAAUUUGAGAUUUCGACAAUAUCACUUAAUGUUGAGUUAUGAUAUUAUCUUAAACUAUGUAAUUAAAUUACAAUAUGUAACUUCAAAUUUGUAUUUUGGAAUGAACAAACUUAUGCACUAAUCUUUUUUUCCACCGGAAUAUCUAAUAUCGUUUUGGAAUCACAACAGGCAAGUUCUGUUUGAAAGAAACAUUUUCAUAGUACCGUCUAGCUUAGCUUCAAUAUAAUACUAAAUUAUUAGAUUUCAGAAUCUAUAUUUAUCGUAUUAAAUUAUACUAAGUCAAAAAUAAAUUUUAAAAUUCAUAUUUUUAAAAUGUGUAAUGGAUGUCAAUAUGAAGAACACUUUCUUGAGUAAUAUAACGUUAUUUUUUAAUCAAAACUAAUGCAUAUUUGAUUCACACAUUUGAUAUUUCUUUCCCUUUUUUUUUGGGGGGGGGGGGGGGAGGAUUUAAUCAUUUCUUUUAAUUUCAAAAAUCCAAGUUUGACAAGUAACCCACAGUGAAAAAAAUAGAGAAAUUUAAAUACGCAACUCCUCUUCAUUUCAGUUCACCAAUGAGACUAUGAGAGGGGAGAACUUUGCUGCUUUGCUUUCUGUUCUCCAAUUGUCCAAUGAAAUGAAACCAAUUUGGCAUUUGCUCCAAUAUUGAGCUUUUGCAUGCGUGCCACGUACGAUCUCGCAUGCAGAAUGCCACGGAGGACUCCACUUUUCAAGAGUGAAUCAGCUUCAAGAUUGCAUCAAUGGAUUCUGCAUACAAAUUUGGAUUCUUGUGAAGCAUGCAUAUCUCGUAUAUGUGGGCUUUGUGUAACUCAAGUUGAUUUGGCUGAGAUCUGAAGGCAAAAUCUUCCAGGAUUUUUUCCCUCUUAAUCUUGUUGUUGGUCAAAAGGACAUAAAAUUAGCGUCAAUUUGGCUCCCCUUGUGAUUUCCGAUUUCCAAGUACAAUCGUUAUGAUAAUGUUGCCCUUGAAUAUGGACACGUGUCAUUACCCCGCUGAUGAGUGUCACUAAUUUCUUACUAUAAUCACACGAGCUUAUAACUCACCCCCACUAGAGACAUUGCUGCCGGACCUUGUUAGAAAAGGUCAUCACAAAGUUAACCGCGCAUAAUUUUACAUAAUUGAACUAAAACACUUGAAUAAAUUAAAAUGCAAUUCACGAAAUUUUAUAUGAGAUCACAAAUUAAUUUACCGAUUUUUUUAAUUAAAAAAUAUAUCGCACCUCAACUAGAUUUCUUUUUAAAUGUUAUGAAAGACCUCAAUUUAAAAUAUAUUUGACCAAAAAUAGUUUAAGAAUAAUUGCUUUUAGGAUUUGCAUUAAAUUCAUAUUUAAGAGAGAAUCGGCAUAAUAAUGGUCACUAUAGAAAUAAUUAGUCAAGAAACAGGCGUGUGCUGCGUUGAUAGAGGAGGAAGAGGAAAAUGUACACGUGGCUUUCAAUCAUAACUUGAGAUAAUAAUAAUAUCAUAAACAAAAAGGCCAAAUAAACCAAAAUUAAAAAUUUUAAAAAUAGAUGUGACAACAGCAAUUGAUGCCACUCAGCAAGUUCAUGCACCCUGUCCCAAGUCCCAACCCCCCACCGCUAUAAAUUGGCUCAUCAUCUCGUCAAUUCUCCCACACUCACUCACUCGCAAAACAUCAAAUUUUCAAAAAGCUUUGCAGCGACAGCGAGCGAGACUGAGAGAGCUCUCUAUCGAGAUUAAAAAGAAUAAGAAAAAAAAAAAUGGUGGCUGCUUCCUCAGCUUUAUCAGCUCCUGCUUUGGUCUCAAAGUGCACCGUUUUGCCUGAACAAAAGUCAAAUCUCGGGGACUUGAAGCUCUCAGUCUCUGACCUUCCAAUGCUUUCUUGUCACUACAUUCAGAAAGGCUGCCUCUUCACUCGCCCGCCUUUUCCAAUUGACUAUUUGAUUUCCCUUUUAAAGAAAUCUCUCUCUCAAACCCUCUCUCACUUCCCUCCCCUCGCCGGCCGCUUCACCACCGACUCCGAUGGCUACAUCUACAUCACCUCCAACGACGCCGGUGUCGAUUUCAUCCACAAAAACGCUACCGUAUGGUCCGUCCGUGACAUCCUCAGUCCGGUUCACGUCCCCGAAAACGUCAAGAGCUUCUUCGCUCUUGAUAGAACUGUCAGUUACGAAGGCCAUUAUAGGCCGAUUUUGAUAGUUCAAGUGACGGAACUAGCAGAUGGCGUGUUCAUUGGCUGUGCAAUGAACCACGCGGUCGCGGACGGCACGUCGUUUUGGAAUUUCUUCAAUACAUUUGCUGAAUUGACUAAAGGCAUCAAGAAAAUCUCCAAGCAGCCGGAGUUUUCUCGUGACUCGGUGUUGGUUUCCCCGGCGGUGUUGAGGAUUCCGGACGGCGGACUCAAGGUGACGUUUGAUGAGAACGAGCCAUUGAGUGAGAGAAUCUUCAGUUUCAGCAGAGAAUCAAUUUUAAAACUGAAAGCCACAGUGAACAACAACAAAUGGAUCGAUAACGGCCACGUUGACGCCGUUGAGUUACUCGGGAAGCAAAGUAACGACACGUAUUGGUUGAAGAAAACGGAGUCAAACGGUGAGAUAUCGUCGUUUCAGUCUCUCUCCGCGCUUCUAUGGCGGGCAGUGACGCGUGCGAGGAAACUACAUGUGAACAAAAUGACGACGUUUAGGAUGGCUGUUAAUUGCCGUCACAGGUUGAACCCGAAGCUGGAUCCGUUAUAUUUUGGUAACGCGAUUCAGAGCAUACCGACAUACGCGUCAGCGGAUGACGUGUUGUCCAAGGACCUUCGGUGGUGCGCGGAGCAGCUGAACAAGAAUGUGAAUGCUCAUGACGAUAAAACGGUGCGUCGUUUUGUCGAGGAUUGGGAGAGUAACCCGAGGGUGUUUCCGUUAGGGAACUUUGACGGCGCAUCAAUCACGAUGGGCAGCUCUCCGAGAUUCCCGAUGUACGAUAAUGAUUUUGGGUGGGGCCGGCCUUUGGCAGUUAGAAGCGGUAAGGCAAACAAAUUUGACGGUAAGAUCUCCGCUUUUCCAGGGAGAGAAGGUGGUGGCACCGUUGAUCUCGAGGUCGUUUUGGCGCCAGAAACAAUGGCUGGGAUUGAAUCUGAUCAUGAGUUCAUGCAGUAUGUAUCGUGAUUUGUUUUGGACCGUCGGAUUGAACUGGGGAAAAUGGGAUUCAAGGUGGUGAUCGAGUGUAGGAGGAUAAGGGGAGGGGAUGUUUUGUCUAGUUGUGAAAUAUAGUUGCUAUUUUGUAUUGUAUUUUAUUGUUAAAUUUAAGUUUUGUUGCUCUUUUAUUUUGCCUUCUAAUGAAUCUAAUUUGUUGCUCCCUAUGAACUUGGCCGGUUGGUUAAUCUUUCUUCCUUUUUUUUUUUUAUUUGAAAUUAUUAUAAGAGCAACUAUAGUGUUGGAUAAGGAGGCAGUUGACUUCUCUUACGUAAGAAAAUUGUUAAAAAUUUGUGCGACUUGCCUCUUUGCAUUAAAUUAUAAAGAACAAACCAAUAAACACGCAGUUCAGUUGGUAUGAUGUUGUUCUAUUUUAAUUAAGGUAUUCGAUUUAAGAUUUACGAAUGUAGUUGCGUUAAAUAUUUAUUGGGAGAGUUUACCGUCUUAAUUGUCCUGUUUGAUCGGAAUUUGGAUUAGUUGAAACCCAAUGUAAUUUUCAGAUACUAAAUGAUUUAAAACACCGAAAAAAAAUUAUAAAAAACAAAAGUGAAAUCAAAAUUCAUUCUAAAUUCUGGGGCUAAAAUCCCGAUCUAAUGUAGUUUUCGAAUACUAAAUAGUUUAGGGGCUAAAAUCCCGAUCCAAUAUAGUUUUCGAAUACUAAAUAACUUAAUACACUGAAAAAAAAAAGUUAUAAAGAACAAAAGUGAAAUCAAAAUUCAUUCUAAAUUAUAGGGCCAAAAUCCCAUCUUCACUCACUGAGGCAAGAUCUUUCUAUACAUUCGUAACUGUUUCUUGAACACUCUAUUCCCCAUAGCGUAUGGCAUUCGAAAUUAUGAUAAAUAUCCGGCAACGUGAUUGGAGACUGAAGUACUUGAGUUAAAUUGUUUAAUCUAAUACUGUCUCGACUACAUCUCAGUAUAUAUGGUUACCGUUUAUUUUAUUACAUAUCCAUAAAUACAAUUCAUGGAUAUUAUUAGGUUGUUGGUUUAAUUACUAAAAAUUUGACAUCAUACAAGAGAUUUUGAGUUUAAAUUCUGUUUCACUUGAAUGACAGCUAGUUUCUUUUCGAUUCAUAAAGCGCUCUGAAUCCACAUUUCGUGAACCUCAAUGGCUACAGAAUUUUGAUCAAAAUUGUUCCAAAGAAGGACCACAAAUUAAAAAUUAUAGGCAAACAAACUUUUCACAAUUAGUGAACUUGUUCUUCCAAUUAUAUGAUUCCUUGAAAAUCUUUAAAAAAUCUAUUAGGAUUCAAUUCUCGCACUUCUAAAGGCCAAACAAUCAAGACAAAGCUUGAUGGACAUAAAUGGACGUCAAAUUUGUGUACACCAAAUUGCCAAGUUUGUAAGAAUAAAUUGCAGUUAGAUUCUUUUGUUCCCAUCCCAUCCUCUUCAAUGACAAGGACAUCCAUGUAUUUCUGUCCAUUUUGAACCAAUGCACUAUUUCAUGGUGAACCCAACAAAAACCGAUAUUCUUAAAAAAUUGCAAGAACCGGAACCCAACUAACACAAACUUUGAAUUGAGACGUGUUUUUGCCACAAAAUCCACUUUUAUAUUUACUAUCUUAUCUCAUCAUCGACUUGUUAUUCGAAUGCCCAUGAUUUGUUGAUAUAAAAUGAAAAUAUAAUUUAAUUUUGCAAUUGGAAAAAGUUGAAAACUUCAAAAUUUGAUCUCUAAGUUUAACAUUAUUAUAGAAUAAAUUUAUUCAAUUGCAUACCUCACAAGUGGUACUAAUAAAAUAAUUUUAAACAAUUGAUUUAUUGGUUUGGUGCGGAUGAUUUUUUUGCAAUAAAAAUAUCAAUUAUUUAUCUUUAAAAUGUAAAAAAAAUCUAAUACCCAUAUAAAGAUUCAUUUCCUUCAUAUAUAUACAAUUGUGGAGUAGUUAUCUUUAUUAUUUUGGUCUUGAUUUUUUAUCUAUGUUCCAUAAUAUUUUAGGUUACACUACAAUUGUAUUACUUUUAAACCUACGUAGGUCAUGACCCCUAUUGUCAAUAGUUUAUAAAUAAUUAAUAAUAAGAAAAAGAAAAUAAAUAUGUCAAUUAUUUAUAAAACAAUUGAAAUCAAUUAGUUUGAAUUGAUAUCUUAAUUUCACCGAAAUAUCCCAAAAAAAAAAAAAAAAACUUAGUUUCACAGACUUGGGGCCUAAUUAUAAGCCCAAAACAUAAUCAGUGUUUGGGCCAGGCCUAAGUUUUACCCUGAAUAUUUUAUUGUCUCCAUUUUGACCAACUUAAAUGAUUUUAUUUCGCUUUUAAAAAAAAUGAUUUUAUUUCCCUCUCUCUCUCUCUCUCUAUAUAUAUAUAUUAAAAACAAAUGAUUUUAUUUUCAAUCUGUACCCGUGCACCUGAUCAAAAGCUCGUUCGCUUCGAACCCUAAUUUUAAAGCUCCAUGAUUCUCAUUCUACGUUCGAAUCAACUAAAAUUUUGAGCAAUUCAGUGGCAAAUCACCCAAAAAAUAUAAGCUUUCGCAAUCAAAGUGAUGUAGGUAAUCUCGGUUAAGGUAAGUUUAUGUACUACCUUAAUUUAUCUUUGUUGACUUUAAUAAUGCUGCUUCAUUCGUCAUUUUGCUUUGAAUUUCUUCGUGGGUUUUCAUUUUAUCAGUUCGUUACUUAGAACGAUUGGGACUAUUAAAAACUUCUGAAAUGAAUGAUGUAGAAGUUUAUGCUGUUUUAAUAUUGAGAAUUAAAAAUGUAAAGUCAACUGAGCCAAAUGGUAUACUUCAUUUUAUAUUUGACAAGUGAUAUUAAGUUUUCUUCGUGAUCACAUACUGAAUAUGAUUGGUUGAAUCCAUAACUUCAUAGGUUUACUUUGUAGGUUAUGCUAUAGCUCCGAGAAGUAAAGACCACGUGUGAACCUAAAACAAGUGAAAUAGGCUGCUCUCUUGUGAUCUUUUGAGUCUCACUGUCAUUUCAUUCGGGAAAUCGAUAGAACUAGUAUGCGACAUGAAGUCCAAAGAAAAGAGUUUAGUUGUUCUGAUGGUGUAAUGGGAUUUUUUGGGUUGGAUUUCGUGGGUACUUGCAGAAGGGUUUUCUCCAUUGGCUCACGGUGAGCUAUUUGGUGAGAUUCGUAUUUCAUGAGAUUGGUGAGAACUGAAAGUGCUUGGAUUAUUAGUAAUGGCAUAGAGAAUUGUUGUGAAUGAUGAAAAGUAAUCUAUUUGUUUUUUAUGGACUGUUUUCAGAAAUUGACAGUGUAAAUUCUGAGAUUCUGUAACGGAGACCAAGAGCAAACUUUUUAGUUUCUUUUGGCAUUAAAGCUCGGAGAUGUUUGAAACAACUUAGAGUUUGGAUGGCCAUUUGCUGUUAUUCAGGGAUUAAAAGAUAUGAGCAUCUGUAAGUGGUAUUAGAUAAGUGGGAUUAAAAGAUAUGAGCAUCUGUAAGUGGUAUUAGAUAAGUAUAUUGGUAUUGUGGGUUGAUUAUGCUUCUAGUGAUUCCUUAAAAAUAAGUUUUUCAUGCCAGUUCAAGUUGGUAAAUUGUUAAAUGUAGAUACUGAUAUUCAGAAAUAAAGAUUAACUGAGAGUUAUGGAAUUGACAAAGAAAAGGAGAGGCCACAUUUUGAAGAACUCCAUUUGUUUUGUGUUAGUGGUGGUCUCUGUUUGUUGCCUGUCGAUUCUGAUUUUUUCAAUGCUUAGGCUUCCAGAUAUAUCAUUAGGAAGCACCUCAAUACAUGGAGAGGUUUAUAGACGUGAGGAGAUUGGGAAGUUCGCAGAGAUGAUGAUUGAGAUGCUACCCGAAGAUCUUGCUUUUACCAUCUUUGUUCCUUCGGUGAAAGCUUUUGAUCGUGAGCUGAAGCUACAAGUAAAUGAUAGUCUGGUAGGAGACAAUGUGAACAAUACAUAUGCUAUACUUUCUCGAAUUUUGGGUUUCUCGGCUGUUCCUCGGACUCUUUCUUCAAUUAUGGUUCCUUUUGGUGAAGAAAUUUCUUAUGAUUCAUUGUCUGGGUUAACAUUGUACAUUUCAAAGAGUUCAGAUGGAAAGCUGUUGGUUAACAGAGUUGAAUCAGAGAGGCUUGAUCUCAAGAAAGGGAAGAUUGUAAUACAUAUAAUGGAUGGGGUGAUUAUGGAUGCUGAAUUUGAACAAUCUGUUCAGCCUGAUUACAAAGAAGGAGAUUAAGUGAAACUAACGUAUAUAAUCAUCACCAAUGUACAACUUUUGAUGUAACAAUUCUUGUCAUCUACUGCAUACCUUCUUAAUUUUACAAAAGAUUUACAGAAAUUGUAGGUAGACGGUACUCUCAAAUGAAUUUGAGCCAUUUUCUGUUUCACCUGGUGAAUCUUGCAUUACAGAUGAGUUUGAGCCAUUUUUCUGCAUAAUGUGAAAAGUUCACUGUGUAAUGUGGCAGGUUCAUGAAACAAAUACGCAGAAGAAAGAAGAAACAUCUGAGAAUUGUUUCAUUGUGAUCUAUGCAAAGUCUUCUGAAAAAUCCAUCUGAGCUUGAAUAGUUUUGAUCAAUAAGGAGAGUAGAUUUUUCCUUCAAACCUUGAUUGCUUGUGUCUCUGUUCAUGUUUCUGGAUUCUUGAUCUGGGUUCUGCUUUCUUGUUUUAAUUCAAUUUCUUUGUGCUUAAUUCAUCAAGAUUCAUUAGAAUUAACCUGUAAACGCUUAAAAGAGUCAACAAAAAUAGUACUAAACGCAUACUUUAAUGGAAAAUGUAACAAUUUCAAAACAUCAUUUUUAUUCUCUUUUUUUUUUUUUUUUAAGAAAAUGCAAAUUUAAAAACAAUACUGAUUGCGCCCUAGAGUGCCAAAUGGUAGGCGCAUAAAACAGAUUCGAGCAAGGAACAUAUACAAAAUUAGUUCGAGAUCCUCAGGAAAUAGCAAAACUAGCAUUUCUAGUAAAUUUUUUUCUUUUAAUUAUUUAUAAAAUGAUUUUUCAGUUCUUGGGAAGCUCAUUGGCAUCAAUUAAUUCAGCCUCUCAAUAAUAAAAGUCCUGCUUGUAAUAGUUAUACCAAAGAAAGCCACAUUACAUUAAAGGAUGUGUUUACUUAAGCCACCUUAUUUUGAUGUAUCAUUUAAAUACCACAUAAGAAAUAGCGGUCAAGGAUAUCAAAGAAAAAGAGAGAGCCCAUCAAUUUAACGUUGGAAAACUAGUGUAAAGUAGUUAUUUUGAGGCAUGAUUUUGAGUAGAACCUACUUAGUAUAAGUGAAAAAGUUGAAGUUGUUUUAGAUACUCCUUCAUGAGUACUUCAAAAUAAUGAUAGGAUAAAUAAAAAUUGUUAGUCAAACUACACUCAUGAAGUUGAAAAAAUUAGCAUAUGGGAAAGAGAGCUAAGAUAUAGAAGGUUUAUAUCUAAUUACUCGUGUGUGUGUGUGUGUGUGUAUGAAGAGUUGAAUGAAAUUGAGGUGUGUGUGUGUGUUAAUUCGUUUUUUCUCUAAUAAAAAAUUAAAACUGUGUGUUCUAAGUUGUUUAAUUAAUAUUUGUUUUCCGGUGAAAUUGUAAAGUAUCAUGCUUUUCAUUUUUAAAUUUUUAAUAGGUUAUUUUGUUUUUUUUUUUUAAAUUCUGUUAAUUGCAUUUUUUUUAUUUAUGUGUAUUAUGCUUAUAGAAGAUACCGAGAGCUCAGAGGUAUGUGCAUGGCAAUAUAAAUAUCCAAAUUUUGAGCCGGUAUCAAACCAAUAUAUCAAUUCAGAAUCGAAUUGAUAUAACAAUCUGGAAUCGAAUUGAUAUAUCAAUCCCGAACAGAAUCGGAUCGAACCAAAUUUAUUUUGUUCAGAUUGGUUCUUCAAAAUAUUGUAUCGAACUGGACCAAAGUUUUUGGUUUAUCUUGAUACCGAACGAAUCAAUGCCCACCCCUAGGUUGCGCAAAAAGAGCUUUGGUGGUGGUAUUCACUAAUCACUUUCAACCAAUUCCAAAGCGGUGGCGUAUUGAGUGAAAAAGAAAAGAAAAGACACGUCAUGUAUAGAUCACAAAAUAAAAAAAAAAAACUUGCUAAAAUCCUUACCCCUAAAUAUUUCAAAUCUCAAUGAACCUCCCCCUCCCUCUUUGACACUCCUGCUACCUAUUGGCUGCUCUCUCCAGCAUUGGCUCUCUUGCAAACGAAGCCUAUAAAUCAACCCUAACCAAUCCAUCACUCAAUCACAAUGAUGGCCGUGAGAUUUUAUGAAUUAAUACAGAGCCAAUUUAGAGUGACACAACACCAAUUAGUUUGUUACUUAUUUGUUCUAAGUCGAAAGGAGCUCUCGAAUAUUUUCUUCCUUUUAUUAUUAUUUAAAUUUAAUUUUCUCUGUUUGAUCUUUUAUUUGUAAUAAUAAUAAUUAUUAUUAUUAAUUUUUUUGAAUUAUAUGUUUGUGUGCUGACCAAUUUUGAAGUAGUUACUUGAAAUGAAAUAAAAUACAUUUCAUUCAUAUAUACUUCAAAUAAAAUAUAGGGCUACUUUGAGCAUUAUAAAAUGUCAAGUUAACACAAUUUGAUUUGACCCUUCUAUUGGAUCUGAAAUCACAUUUAUAAAAUGUGUAGAUCACAAAGAAAUACUUGCUAAAAUCCUUGCCCCUACAUAUUUUAAAUCUUCAAAGAACCUCCCCCUUCUUCUUUGAUACUCCUACUACCCAUUGUCUCUCUUGCAAACAGGACCUAUAAAUCAACCCCAUCCACUCCAUCACUCAAUCACGAUGAUGGCCAUGAGAUUUUAUGCACUAAUACAACACCGAUUUGGAGUGACAUGUCACCGGUUAGCUCGUUGCUUCUUUGUUUGGAGCGGAGAGGAGCUCCCACUCUAUGUCGUUAAGAAUGUUUUUUUCCUCUUACUAUUACUAUUACUAUUACUAUUAUUAUUAAUUUUUUUUGGCAGAAAAGCUGAAAAGCUACAAAUGCCUGUUAGAAUAUCGUCUGGAAAGUCAUCGCUUUUUGCAUGAUUGUUCUAUGAAUCAAUCCAACCACUCGAACAAAUUGAACUUGGAAGAAUAUUUGUAACGCCUCUUCCUGAUAUUCUUUAUUUUCUUUUUGGAUUUGUUUAAUUGCUUAAUUAGUGCUCAAACUCUCUUUUGAUUCUUCAUUUCAUUAUUUGUUUUACCUUAUUUUCACCAAACUGACAUAUUAAAUAACAUAAACAACAGCUUUAGUUUAGAUGUUUCUGGCUAUAAAUCUUUUGUGGAAUCUCAUUAUCUUAUAAUAUCAUUUGUCAUUUUUGCAUGUUUCUUUCUGCAUCUAUUCUCUAAGCUUGUUUAUGUCACUAUCAUCCAAGUGUAAGAUAUUGUAUCCCCUGGAGUCAUCCCUUCUAAUCUUGGAAAAUUUAAGUAAUUGGAAAUUUUGAACCUGUUCCAAAAUGACCUCAUUGGAACUAUUCCAGAAGAAAUUUUAAUUCAACAUAGAGUAUUUGUCAGAGUCACUGAAUUAGCCCGAAACCACUUGGUUGGAUCUAUACCUCCAAAGAUCGGUAAUGUAAAAUCUUUAAGGAGAUUUGAUGUGUCUAGGAAUAACUUGUCUGGUGAAUUUCCAAGUGAACUAGGUCUUUGUUCUAGCAUUGAAGAGAUUUAUUUGGUGAGAAACUUCUUUCAUAGAUCCAUUUCUUCAUCACUAAGUUCUUUGAGAGUUGCUCAAGAGAUUGAUCUGUCUCGGAAUAAUUUGAUUGGAAGAAUUCCAAUUUUCUUCGUAGGUCUUUCCUUAAAGUAUCUCGACUUAUCAUUUAAUGAUUUAGGGGGCGAAGUACCAGCAAAAAGAAUUUUUGCAAAUGCUAGUGCAGUAUUAUUUAUUAGUAAUCGUAAUAGUCUUUAUGGUGGCAUAGCUGAACUACAACUACCCAAAUGCACCAAGAACAAUUCAAUGAAUUGGAACUUCUCUCAAGGACUGAAAUUAAUAAUCUUAACUGUAAGAGCUUUUCCAAGAUUAGUCAUCUUGUCAUUUUCAUUUUCUGUAGGUUCAAAAAAAGGAGGGGACCUUCCAAGCAACCUUUAAGACUCACACUUAGAAGCGCAAUUCCAAAAGAGUAUUAUGAAAGUCUUGUCAAAGCAACCGAUGGAUUUCCAUUAAUAAACUUGAUUGGUGUGGGUAGCUUUGACCCUGUGUAUAAGGGAGUAUUUGACCCAAAUAGAGCUGUUGUUGCAAUCAAAGUUCAAUGCCAAGGAGCUUCUAAGAGUUUCAUGGCUGACUGCAAAGCCUUGAAAAAUAUCUGUCACAGAAAUCUUGUCAGGGUUAUAACUUCAUACUCAAGUAUUGAUUUUCAAGGUAAUGACUUCAAAGCUCUAGUUUAUGAGUACGUGCCAAAAUGGAAGUCUUGAAAAAUGGUUGCAUCCAGAUGCCCUAGUUUAUAAGUAUUGCAAUUGAUGUGGCAUCCGCACUAGAUUAUCUUCAUCACCACUGCCAAGAAUUGAUCCUCCAUUGUGAUCUAAAGCCAAGCAAUGUCCUUCUCGACAAUGACUUGUUUGCUCACAUUGGUGAUUUCGAACUAGCUAGAUUUCGUCAAGUCUCAAAUCCAACUCAAAGCAGCUCUAAUGGAGUAAGAAGAACAAUUGGCUAUACGGCUCUAGGUUAUAACACAUAAUCAAAUCCCAUUACUUUUAUUUAUUAUUUAUUUUUAAUUUUUACUUCAUUUAAGGUUUUUGAACGGAAGAUUAUGACUUAGGAAGUGAGGUGUCAACAAAUGGAGAUGCUUACAACUAUGGAAUAUUGUUGUUGGAAAUGGUGACAAGAAGAAAACCCAUAGACUUAUGUUUGAGGGAGACUUGAAUCUUCAUAAUUUCGCAAGAAUGGCCUUCCCUAAUCGUGUGAUGGAUAUUGUGAAUCUAGUUCUUCUAAAUGAUAAUAAAGUUUUGGUUGGUACUAAUAGCAAUAUGCUAAGGAAAACAAAAAUGAACAGCAGAUUAGAAUGUUUCAUUUUUAUGGUAAGAAUUGGAGCUGCUUGUUCAAUGGAGUCAUCACAAGAUCGAAUGAACGUACCUAAUGCAGUCCAUGAUUUACAAUCAGUCAACAACAUUCUUCUACCUGAAACUGUAUUCAAAAGGUCAAAAAGGUAACUAGAUGAGACGAUAUUCUCCUAUAGCUUUUGCCUAGGUGAUAUAAAUUUACUAGUGGUGGGCACGGGUCGGGUUGAUGUUCAACCCGACCCAACCCGCAUGUAGAAUAGGUUGAAAAUUUUCAACCCAACCCGCCGCAAAACUGCGGGUUGGGUCGGGUUGGGUUGAUUGGGUUAGACUUUUAAAAAAAUUCAUUUUUAUAGUAUAAUUAAAUAGUGAACAAAAAUAAAUUAAUUAAUUAAAAAAAACUAAAAAAUACAAAUAUUAAAAUCUUUAGAACAAAUCCAACAUUUCAAAGUUUUUAUAUUUAUAUUUUUAUAUGAAAUAUCAAAAUUUAUAUAAUAAUUUUUAUAUACAUACGGGUUGACCGGUUGGGUUAGGUUGAUUGGAUUGGGUUUUUGAAAAAAUUUAUUGUUAUAGUCUAAUUAAAUAAUGAACAAAAAUAAAUAAAUAAAUUAGAUAAACAAAAAAAUGUAAAUAUUAAAAUCCUUAAAACAAAUCCAACAUUUCAAAAUUUUUAUAUUUAUAUUUUUUUAAUUUUUAUAUAAAAUAUCAAAAAUCAUAUAAUAAUUUAUAUAUAUAUAUACGGGUUGACGGGUUGGGUUGGGUUAAAAAUUUUUAACCCAACCCAACCCAACCCGUUUAUUUUAUCAACCCAACCCAAUCUGUAAAAAAUCACACGGGUUGGGUCGGAUUCACGGGUUGGACAGGUUGAUGCCCACCCCUAAAAUUUACAUUGUAUCCUUUGCCCAAGUGAUAUAAAGGCAAAAAAGGUAACUAGAUGACACGAUAUUCUCCUAUAGCUUUUGCCCAGGUGAUAUAAAUUUGCAUUGUAUCUUUUGCUGAUUACUUCAUUUAUGCUUUUUUCAGUCUAACCAAUAACAGGGCAACAAAGUUAAAAGCUUCAUCAAGUAGAAAAGAGUAAAAGUUAUCGUAGACAAUGAAAAUGAGGCUCCCAGAGGGAAUAACAUUUUAUCAAAGUCUACAUCCUGUAGGUUUAUAAUAAAAAAUUUGGGAGUAUGGAGUGCUCCAAUGGCUUCAAUGUUAAAAGAAAGAAAAAAAAAUAUUAACUGCAAUAUAUAGAAACUUUUUGGGCACAUGCAAAGGCAAUGCAGUUCUGUUUUCGGAUUAUACAAUAAUUUACUGUCUGUCAAUCAGGCAUAUACAUGGAUAAAUUUUCAAAGUUUCAGCAAGAAGAUGUCAAGAGAUAUUAGAUAUUAGUGAUGCUGAAAUUGGCUCUCUCUUAUUUGAAAUAUGGUACCGAUUCAAGUCCUUUCUUACUCCUUUCACAUUGGAGCUAAUGCCACCGGGUCAAAAACCAGCCCGUGCUGCUGUACAAGAUGUUUGAUAAUGAGAAUGCUGCUCAUCAUACAUUGACUUCAGAGCUGCAGGCUUGGUGUCAGUCAUGUGAAGAUUUUUUUCUUGAAGGAAUAUUACAUGUCACUUGUCCAAACUUGCAAGUGGAAGCUUGGAAGGAACUUCUGUUGUUUACUUCCAUUUUGAGCUUUGUUAGUUUAUUGCAAAUUAUUUUUAUCUUAUAUAAUUGAACCAUUAACAUAAAGAAUUCAAAAUUUUCCACCAAUCAAUCUUAAUUGAAUUCUUUAAACUCAAUUAAUUAAUUUUCGUUCUUUGCAACCUAAGAAUUAGAAGAUAAAGGAUGCUGAUGCUGAUGUUGAACAUAAUGCAACUUUCAACUUCUGACAAGAGGUGCGCCCUGCUAUAGGUUAGCAGAAACUGCAUCAUCCUUGACACUAGAAAAUUAACUUUUUGGUCCAAAAGGGCUGCUUUCUUUCUGACUAAGGUGAUUGUUUCAGAUGAUUAAAUAUUUUGCAGGGGCCAGGAAUGUCAUCAGGCUUUGCCAAGCACAUUGUUUGUAGAGAGUCAAAUAUAAACAGCGGACACAUUGCAAUUGCUUCUUGUCCUCAACUCCUGAAUACAUUCAGUUAUAUAUUCUUAUCUUAAAUUUUGACAAAUCAACUCCACCAGAUAUCAACUAUAGUCAGAAAAACCGACAACCCUUGCUUGGAUCAUGGAGCAGAUCCAUCCACUUUUGCUAGUAGGUGAUAAAAGAGAAACUUUCUCAAGCUUCCUGUCUGAUGAAUUUUUCGUUUUGACAUAUCUUAUCUGACUUCAUGAGUUAUUGUAAAAUUAUUCAAUGUAUUAGACAUGCUAAAUGUUUCAUCAAGCUCUAUCUCAUCAAAGGAUGAUGAUCAAUUCCUUAGCAAUGCUUUUCAAGUGUUUUAAAUAUUUUGUUGAUAUUCCAAUGUUAAAUAACUCAGAAAAAUCUGAUGAUAUGAUUGCUCUGCCAUGCUGCCCAAGCAACAACUACGGAGAGCCCUUCAUUAUGUGCAACAUUGGUGGUUUUUCUUUGAAGCUGAAAAUUUGCUUUCUCCUGUAUUGGUCCCAUCUACUGAUUGUUGCUUUAUAUUAUCAUUAUUGUUAUUUUUUUGGUUCCUUUUGGUUUCUUUUGGGGGCACUUUGGCUUGUUCCAGCAUCUGGGAUGGUUGUCAAAACACAUAUAUCGAUUGAUGUCAUAAGGCAUAUGAAUAGAUGAUGAAGCAAUUGAGUUUACUCAAUAUUCUCCACGAAGCGGAGACAAUAAUUUGUGAAGAAUCAUUAUACUGCUCUUCGGUGAAUUUCCCAUGCAAACUAAGUAAUAUGUAGUAAUACUCCUCCAAUUAAAUCGUAAACAGAAUUAAAAAAAAAAAAUUUAAAAAGGCCCAACCCAAUUUCAAAACAGUGUUUCUAUUUACUCCCCACUUUUUUUAUCCUUUCAACCUAGUUGUUGACGUAUCACAGUUUUUUAAGCUAAUGUGAGGUAACUCAAUUACUCAGCAAACUAGUAAUGCAUGAAAUUCAAAUAUGGAAGCAGACCCAAUGUAGUAUAUACUACUAAUUUAUACCAAUAAUAGUUAAGCAGUUCAAGAAGACAUUUCUCAUGAGAGGAAGCAAAUUCCAAUUUCCAAGCAUUCAUAGAAAAAAAAAAAAAACAAAGCAAAAAAAAAAAAGCAAUCUUAAUUUUAUGUGCAGGUAGAGAAGAAUGUCCAAAGCAUUUUAAAUUUUUUAAACAAUAAUAAACUAUCAUCACUACUCAAAAUCUUCAUCUAAUACAGCUUCCAAAUUUUAUCCCUUAAUUCUAAACCCAACUCUUUUUUCUUUUUCUUUUUCAAUGAAAGCUUUGUUCUACAGGAAGUUUAAACGCAGAUCCAAUGGUGGAUGAUCCAUUUCUGUUCCAAUUGUAUAAGAAAAUGUUGUACCCUCUUCCUUGAAUUCGUCUCCAUGCAUCCUCAGCUUCUCUGACUCUUGAUCAUCAAAAGAGUUCAACGGGAAAAGUUGUAAAGUUUCAAUAACUCUUUCAGGCUCAUCAUGUGCUUCUCCUGCUACAUGCAUAUAACUAUUAUGAAACUCUACAUAAUCUGGGGAAAAAAAAAGAACAAAUAUAACUUAUUAAUUAGAUGAAAAUUAAACUAUAUAUUUAGGGAACAUAAGGAAAUUUUUUUUUUUCAAUUUUUAGCGUACGUUUUGGGGAUGAAAUCUUGUCGACAUGGCGAAUAAGAUCCUUUUGAUGGUCAUAAUCCACAGAUACUUUGCGACGCUUCUGUCUCUCCCUAGCUUUAUGAUUUUGAAACCAGUAAAAGACAUUCUUGCUUUCAAUCUUACCAUAAAAGCUUAACUGAGUAGAGAUCUUCUGAAUCUGAUCGGUGCUCGGCGUUCGGAGCCCCGACGUGAACAAGUCAGUUAGGACUUUAACUUGUUCGCUGGUCGGGUUCCACCGCCCACACUUUGUUCCAGUGUCACUAUUAUCGUUACCGUUACCAGCACGAACAUGUCCAGCUUUAACGUAAAAGCCUGAGAUCCUCUCGUCCAUAUUUUGAAUUUGAUCUAAUAGAAUUGUGGAAGUGUCUGUGAAUUAACUUUCUUUCUGAACACAAAAGAUAAUGAGUUCGUGUGCAUUACUCUUUAUAUAGUAACAAGUACACGAGUAAAUAAUUAUUUUUGAUUUGUUAAAUUUUGUUUUAUCGAAUUGGUAAUGAAAGGAUGAGAGAAUCACUGAAUCAAUCCUUUUGUAAUAUCAAUAUGCUUUGAUUUUAGGGUUUGUGAGAUUGAGUUUUUGGCCCGGUUUUUGUGCAGAGAUAGAGAGAAGAGACAUGCGCAAAAGCUGCCACUGUUGAACGUUUUGGUCGGCGAGCAGACAAAGAAGUAAGUUUAAUUAAUUAUUAAUAAACUAUAUUGUAUUAAAUUUGUGUCUUUUUUGAGUUAGGGUGUUUGUGUUUUUCAGUAAAGUUUAUAAGCUAUAUUAAGUGUGUUAAUGUUUUGUCAUGCAUGCGUUUUGAAGACUAACCUAAUGAGUCCAAAAUCACCACGACACGUGAAUAAAUCCAAAGCUUUGUUUUUAAACUAGAGCAUAUAUGCUAAAGAACAUGAUAAUGGGAACAAUAGUUAUAUUAAUUAUUAAUUAUCUUAAGUGGGUGUGCGUGUAAUAAAAAAGAAGAUUAAUUGAUGUAAGUGAAAGUCAAAGUGAUCACAUUGUCUGAUCUUUGUUGGACGGUUGUGAUCUGAAAUUAAGUUGACCAAAUCACUAGAAUUCAGUCAAAUAGAGUUAGGGCUAAUCCUGAACCUUCUUUUAAGGGGAGUGGGAACACAAACUAGAAGACAAUAAAGCCACCAAAUUGAAUUUUGAUUUUGAGGGACAACUCAUGACCAGCCAAAAGGUAAGCAACUUAAGAUUAUUUUUUUGUCAUGCGGCUCUUGUCUUAGGCAACUACAUGUCGUAAGUUCAGUGUUAAUUGGUUGCUUCAUCUUUUUGCUUCAUCAGCUCACGAUCUCAAAAGUAAGCGAGCAUUUGUGUACAUUAGGGUUUGUCUUGCGACUAGAAGUUUGAGCAUAAGCGAAGCGUGAUUUUUAAUUAUUUGAGUAAUGGAAACUAAAUACUUUGGGAUUCGCUUAACGAGAUAGAGAUUUGAGGGUAUUAUUUCAUGACUUGUUGGAACUAGGGAAAGUUCAGAGACUAGCUAGAUGAAGCAUAUAUAGGACAUGUAUAAAAAGAUUUGGACAUACAAGAAAUGUGAAAAAAGCAAGCAUGUUUAUGAUGAGAUAGCAUAAUUGUUGACCUUUAGCACAAUUAGCUUCAAUUUUUGCAAGACUAUUGGGGUAAAAUCUUCAGUUUGUUUAAAAAUAUGCCAGCAAAGCAAAUAUAUCGGUUAAUCAAAUUUGGGUAAGUUUGCAUCCUCUAUAAGUUCAUAUUUUACUUCACAUCCUUGGAAAUCAAAAUUCAAACGAGAAAUUGAGAGUUGAGUAAUCACUUUCCUUUCUCACUUUCGAGAAGAGAUUUAAUUCUCACCAAAUCCAAAUGUGGAUAGGAUUCUCUACAAUUGAGUGAUCAAAUUAAAUUUUCAAACUAUGCUUAUCAGAUGUGUACAUAUAAGAUUGGUAAAAAGAAAAAAAAAGAUUGAAAUUAUAAUAAGAAAUUUUAUAUAUAUUAUAUACACACACUUGCUACUGCAGGUUCUGCAAUUUGAUCACCAGAAGCUAAAAUUUACUUAAGCCAGCUUUAUUGCUUUUUGAAUUCUAUUAUACUCAUAUUGUUAUUGAUAUUACAUCAGACAUUACAAUUAAUAUUUACAAUCAUACUAAAUAAUUGGGGACCACCGCCAUACAUUAACUCACUGAAGCAUUUGCCCAUAUACUUUAAACUCUCUAAAAUAUUCGAGAGGUGCCUACUCUACUCACAUUUUGUAAAGAAUAAAUUAUCUCCGCUCAAUUAGUUGGUAACUCAAGGAGUACUGAAACUAACUUUUAUAAAAUUCUUAUGGAGACUCGAAACUUUACACUCAACAUUAUAAGUGUAAAGAUUCUCUCAUUAAACGAAAGGCUCAUUGUUAAGCCAGCUUUAUUGUUGAUCAGUCAAAAUUUGGCCAAAUGUUUUCCUGCUUUUUCCACAUCUACAUCCAUCAAUAAUUUUUAUUGAUCCAGUGGGGUAUAAUUUUAAAUUGAAUUGUGUAAAAAUUUAGGUUCUUUUACAGUGUUUUCUUCUCUUAGUCAAGGAGUAGCAGUGGCAAAUUAUUGUUUUGCGUGCUUAAUAUCUGCAAUUCCCAAGGAUGUUCUCACUAAAAUAAUAAAAAUUUGUCACUAAGCACUUGGCAGAUAAAUUGGCACUAAGAUUGCUGCUUUCUAACUCCUAGGUAUUUACUUGCCCUGCUGACUAAAAUAUUCUUUGCCUCUGUUUUUAUCUAUUUGUUAUUUUAUUAUUCUAAGGAGCAAUAAGUGCAAGGCGAUCAGGAUUAGGAUGUCCUUUUUCAUAUUCUUUUAAUUUUUGUUAGAAGAAUAAGAUCCAAAUCACAAUGUUCUCUCUAAGGAGGUUUUAUUUUAUUCAAUCAUACCGUGUCAACAAAAUAUUUAAGAUUAUGCACUGCAUAAUUUAAAAAUUAAUUUUCUUACCAAAUGAGAAAAUAAAUUCAAGUACUUUGAAGAAAGAACGAGUUUAUUUUAUUUUGAUGAAAGAAAAUAGAUUUUUUUUUUUCGUGAGAAUAAAUAAGCAUUUUGGGGGAGGGUGGAUUACACGUGUACCUAAUUACAUUAACUCUGUGAGCUUAAAAUAGCCCUUAUCUAAAAUUAGGUGAAGCGCAACACUUGAUCAUUUUCAAUAAAUUUAUGCUUUAGAUAGCAUGGAUAUUUGAAUUAGAAAUCAAUUAACUUAAUUAAAAUAUGAAGAAAUCAGCACAAGAAAUUAGAAGAAGGAUUUAAGACCGGGUGACUGAGAUCGAAAAAAGUGCCAUCUCUGUCUUGUUGCUUGUCCUUUGUAUAUGUCCACGUGGAUCCUGCAACACAUGGAAGCAUGUUAUGACAUGAAAGCUGAAGAAAAUGUUAAAAUUCAGUGAGAAACGAGGAGACAAGUCUCUGAUAGGGUUCUUAGCUAGCUAGGACUAGAAAUAUGUAUUAGGAUACGCGUGAAAUCUAGGUCGCCCCAGAUUUUACGACGUCGCUUUUCUCAUGUCUCCUCCAUUAUGUGUCUGUUUAUGCGUUAGUUGAGUGGAAGGAAUGCUGGAAGCUUAAUAACAACAAUGGAGACAAAAAGGUGAAGAAGAAGAUUAGCUUACCUUAGCCUAGCUAGCUAGCUAGCUUGAUAGCACUCGUAUAAAAAUUGUGAAUUAUCGAUUUUCGGCCAAUUUUAUACAGAAGCAGUGGCAUUGCAAUCACUGCAAAUGGAAGAACAAUAAUUACUUGUUUGGUAUUGAAAUUUGAAAAUUGUAGUUUUAAAGUUACAAUAUUAUAGUGUUUGAUAAAAAUCAUUUGUUGUGGCUUGAAAGAUAAGUUCAUUUGAUCUAUCAAUUGUAUAAUAAAAAAACUUAUAAUAUCUUUAUUAUUUUUAUUAAAAUUAUUAUUUAAAUUAAAUCACAUUUACUACGCACCAUUAAUUUUUAUUUUAUAUUUACAAUUUUUUUCCACAACAAUUAUAUCUUAAAAAGUACAACAUUUCAGUACUAAGUAGGACCUAAAAUAACAUAAUUGAUUAUAUAUUAUGUCAAUUAAUGAAUGGUGAUGUUCAUCCUAUAAGAAGAAAUUUAGGUAGCACAUGCCAAUAACCCGAUAAAAGUUAUUGGUGAUAUAAACUAAAGGAAAAAGGCAGCUGCUACGUUGGAGCAUCUCCAACGUAGAGCAGGCCCCAUAAUUGUUCGAUACAUGUAGUUGAAUCUGAAACAAUUAUAAUAACGUGCAUCCAACGGUUUUGGAGACUGCUCUAAGUUGAAAAUGCUCCAACGUAGUUAAACUCAAAGAAAAAUUACAUUACUUCAGAACAUCAAUCAAAACUAAUUAACUUUGGACUUCAAAUAGAUAUGAAACGGUCCAUAUACUUUUAAGUCCAAAUGGGGUUACAAUUGUUAUUAUUUUGGAAAAUUUUACCCUUACAAACAUGUUGGAAAUAUGAACACAUUUUAGUCAUUUUGAUAAUGUUUAGUAAAUAUAACUUUUGAAUAAUAAUUUUGUCAAAAAUAAUGAAGUAUUAUAGGAUUUUCGUCAUACAAGUGUAAGAUUAAAUCAUCUUAGUUCUCAAGUUAUAAUAUAGCAGGUGUAUACUAAAUUCUUUAGUAUUGUAUUUUUUAACUCACAUUUGUCCGACUUCAAUACUAAACAUGAUCUAUUAUCUAAGGGAGUUAAAAUAGUGUUAUCUAUUCCAAAUAGAUGAUGAAAAUGGUAGAUUCAAGAUUUGCUCAUAAAACAGACACCAGAUAGAAUAGAGGUGAAAAGUAAACAGAAUUGAGGACUCGGAAAAUGUUUUAGACGCCGAGGACUAAUGUGAGUUUGUCACGUUCAAAGGCAUUUAUAAGAUUAGAAGUAGGGGUGUCAAAAAAGCCCGCCCGGACCGGACCCGGCCAAUCCGGUCCGGGCAAAACCCGGACCGCAUGCAUACAAAAACCGGAUCCGAGUUUGAAAUUCUCAAACCCGGACAUUUCCGGUCCCGGUCCGGGUUCAACACAAAAAAUCCGGAACCCGGACCGGACCCGGUUUUUUAAUAAAUUUAAAAAAAAUAAAUAUAUUAUAUAUAAAUAUAUAAUUAUGAAUUUAUGAUAUAUUGAAUGUUAUUUAAAUUUAUUGUGUAAUUAUUGUGUUGUUGAAUUUAAUUUAUUUAUUUUUAUAUAUAGAUUGAAUGAGUUUAAGUUAGAAAUUGGAUAAAUUUAGGUAUUAAAAAGUAGAUUGAAAUAAUUUUUAUUUAUCAUUUGUGCAAAAUUUGUAUUGUUAAUGUGUUAUAUAUUUGUAUUUGACUAUUUUCUUUUUUAAAAUUUGAAAUUGAAUGAGUUUAUUUGAUUAUUUUCUUUUUAAAAAUUUGUAUUGUUAGAGAAAUAAAAAAAAAAUUGAGGAAAAAAAUUGAAAAAAAAUUAAAUUUAUCACAUGCGGGUUUAAAAAGCCCGGAUCAAAACCCGGACCCGGAAGGUGCCGGGCUCAAGCCCGGACCGCACCCGGAAAAACCGGGUUUUAACCCGGGUCCGGGUUUGCAUUUCUCUCAUCCGGUCCGGUCCCGGGCAACACCAAAACCCAGACCGGACCCGGAUUUUGCCAAGCCUAAUUAGAAGGAAAUACAAUAGACAAGGGAAUAAAAAAUAAAAAAUGUGCACAAAAAAAUGAUGUUAGAAAAGAGUUAGAGGCGUUGGGCUUUUGGCUAAUGGGUUUAGGCCUAUUAAAUUAAUGGCCCAUUAAAAGCAUUGACUUUACGAAUCAUGAAUUAAAAAGGAUUUUUUUUAUUUAAUUUAUUAUUUAGUGUUAGUUUGGUACAUGUUAUCUAAUAGUUAUAAGUAAUUAUUUAAUUCCAUAAUUUCUUAUGAAUCUUUUUUUUUUGGUUAUUUUUGUUGUCUUUUUAGUAGAACUUUUAAAGAUUAAAUAAAUUAUUUUACCUCUAAUAGUAAAAACUCAAAUUUUAUACUUUUGGAAAUAGAGAUUGAAAAGUCUUUUUAAAUGUUAAAAUAUCUAAAAUACCCUCAUUUUAUUUGACAGUUUCAUCUUAUUAUUUUCAUAGCAUAUUUUUUAAAAUUUGCUUAUUAAAAUAAUUUUAUAAUUUUUAAUAGAUGCUCUCAUUGACAAUCAAACAACUAAAUUUUUUAAGUAAAAACUUUACUUAAAUAAGUUCUACUUGAAAAAAUUAUACUAAGCAGAGCCUUAGGCAAGCACAUGAAGACAAAAGGCAAAAAAUCAUUUGAAUGAUUUUUAAUAUUGCAAUAAAUAGUACAUUCUAGAGUUGUGUUUCAUAUUAACAAUAAGGAGGAAGCAUUUGGAUUUAUAUAGUUGAUAGAUUCUUUCAUCUAAUAAGCCAGUCUUUUGGAUUAAAUACCUAGAAAUUCUAGGUCUAAUCCCCAACAUACACAAUUCAAAUAAUGAUUAAUUAUAUGUAUAUUGGAAAUUGAAAUUCAGUUUGUUUUGAUAUAAUAUGAAACCAUAUAAAAUAAAAUAAAAAUAAACAGUCUUUGAUAUGUAGAUUUGGCGAAAUAUAAGACUAUUUGAAAUAACAAAUAAAUAAACUCUCGCACCCGGCACCCGUGCAAAACUCAAACGCCCAAUCCCAAAGUUGACGUACGGCCCGAUAUACAUUUCGUAGCUUGCCAGCAUACUGUACAUAUGGCUGGCAAUUAUUAACUUUUAAUCUUCAGAAAGUCAGUGUGAGCUUUGCCUUCCAUUUUAUUCUCCAAAACGUGUCUAAGGAAAUCCACGUACUUAACAUUUCUGUAAACUCUAGGUCGAUCAUCAUUCACCAUUGAUUCUACUGGGCCAAUUUCUGCUUCAUCAUUUGGAAGCAUAGCUGUUGCCACUGACAUUCUUGGCCUGCUCGUAUUUGCCAGAGCUCUGUGUUCAAUGCUUCUGUACACCCCAUUACUAAAAACCUGAAAAUUAAAACCAACAAAGAUUCAAUUAAUUAACUCUUCCGUAGAGUUUAAUGUAUUCAACUACAUGCUAUCAGAAAUGAAGUUCUAAUUAUCAAAUACCUCGGCCGCGUCGCCGACGUUUACAACAAGUGCAUUUGGAAUUGGUUUUAUAGGAACCCAUCUAUCUUUAUUCUUGAUUUGUAGGGCUGUGAUCUCAUCAUCUCCUUGCAGAAGUAAUGUUAUUGUGCCUCCAUCAGAAUGGGGGCUGAUACCGAGAACAAGAUCAGGCCUGGAGCAAGUUGGAUAGUAAUUCAUUCUCAUAGCUUGUUUCAUCUCCCCAUGUAAUUUUUUGAGACCGUCUCUAUCCAUUCCCAUCAACAAUGAUAAAUCGGCUAAUAAUUCCUCAGCUACCUUUUGUGCUCCUUCUGAGUAUUUUUCUACUGCAUCCCUAUUAAAAAAAUAUAACUAAUACUUUAAAUUAUUACUUUAUAUGAAAAUUCCCAAGUGUGGAUGCGUGCACGAUUUUAAAAUACAUGUAAAUGUUCACUUCUUUGUACAGAGAGUUGCUAGCAGCUUAAACAUUUAUUUUUAGUAAAUUUUUUUUCACAAGUAGUUGGACAUCUGCACUUCCGCAAUAUAGAAGAACUCGAAUUUCUAAUACUUUAUUUCUAUGUGUCAGAAAAAGAUGACAACAUACUUGAAACCUGGUACCGUGGUUGGCCAGAGCUUCAUUUUUCUGAGGUUAGGUGGGUGAGUGAUAAGCAUUAUGAGAUCACACCAAUCGAGUUUUUGUAGCUCAGAGACUACAAAGCCUUGUCCAUAUCCUUGAAGAUCGUUAGCUGCCAUAGCAUAUUUCAGUUUUUCAUCACGAGGAAGUUCAAAAAAUGCAGCUACUGCUGCCUUCAUAUCUUGCAACACCUUUUCUGCUAUCCCAUGAUUUACUAGCUGCAAAAAUUACAUUAUGGGUUGAAUAUGUUUCAUUAAGGAGUGUAUAAUUAAGAAACAGUUAAUUUGAUUGAAUAUACAUACAUACAAACAUAUAUAUAUAUAUAACCUGAAAGAAACCCCAAUCCUUGCAAGCACUGUCUAGUUUUUUUAGCUCAUCUUCAUCUCCAUUGGCUAGCAAGGAAAAGCUUAUGAUUGGUAUUUCGGAUGAAGCUGCGGGAAUAUACAACUCGGAAUCAAGUGGCCUGUCCUUUUUCUGUUGUAUGUAUCUUUCAGGCACACACUGAGGGUCAUUCCUCACAAUCUCCUGAACACUUGGCACAGGUAAAGAUUUUCCCCAACCUAAUCCUUCAUCUUCUUGCACACAUCCAUUCUCACCUGUUGGAGCCAUUUGUGUUUUUCUUCUCUUUUACCUUAGCCACGGGCAUAGGCAUAUUUAUAGAAUGAAAGCCCAAACUUAAGGUCAAUUUAUAAAAAUAGCCCAAUUAUCCCCCCCCCCCCUUUUAACAAGACAUUCUUAUUAUCUGAACUUUUCUUGAAUGAAGUUCAUGUAGGUGAUUUGGUGGUUAGUAAAUAAAAAUAUGAAAGUUAUUAAAUUUUAAUUAUACAUUAAAAUUUAAAAUCAUGUUGUGUAAGAUAGAUAGAUUAAUUGUGCAUGUCUAUGAGAGAGAAAAGUGUACAUGUUUGUCAAUGUGUGAUAUUUAGGGAUAUUAUUAUCCAAAAUACAUUUUUUUAACUACAUAAACAUGAAAAUUAAUAAGUGGUCAAUUUAUUUAUUUAUUCACAAAUACAGGUAUAUAUCAUUAUUGGCAUUAACCUCUUAAAAGAUGCCCUUAAAAAUGUUUGGAGUUUUCUUAUAGUUUGACUUUGGAAACUAAGGUGGUUGAUGAGGGAUUAGGGAAUAUCAUCCAAAAGGCACUGGAGAUUUUGCUCGGCUGAUACUGUUUUUGUCUAUCAUAUAUAUCAUCGAAAUGUAAUUCAUUCCACUGAAUUUACAAGCUAAAAGGUUAUCAUCUCCAUAGGAUUAAAUCCCGAGAUAUUGCAAAAUAAAAAAAUAAUAAUAAUUGAGACAAUGGAAGUAAAUAUUCUCGCAUUUAUUGCUACGUACUAUACUGUUCUUUUUAAUUUCUACUGUGUUUUUGUUUAUAAUACAUAAAAACGAUUCGUCAAAGUGAUUAAUUUAAAUUAAACUUGACUUCUUAAUUCUUAUCAAGGAUUUAAGUAACAAAUAGAAUAGAAUUAACAAUAACCUAUGAAAUUAAACCAUAUCAUACUAUACCAUGCUAUUUAUUUUUAUGAUUGUCAUAUAUAAAGAUAGAAACGGAAUAAAGAUCAAUCUACAAUUUGGAUACAGAUCCUCAUACAUGUUAAUAUAUAUUUAAUGUACAGUACCUUAAUUCUACUUCUUUGCUUUGCGCGCGUGUGUGUACACACUCUGGUAGUAUCAUCCUGAAAUUAAAGACAAUCUUGGAGUUUACAUCUUAGUUUACAAUCUUAGUCAUCCUGAAAUUGUUUUUGGUAAUUAAUGGCAUCCCAUCCGACUCAUCCUGAAACAUUGGAGUUUACAUCUUAGCUGAUAUAGUUUUGGUCUAUUCGAUGGCGGCAAUUCCCUCGAGUUAUACAUUUUUUGAGCUUCUAUUGACAAGGGCAUUCGACUCAAAUUUAAAGGAUAUUUCAGAUUUAUACUUCACCAGUUCCUAAUUAAGGACGUUGUUGUCUCUAGCUGCUAUAAUAGUUAGGAUAAAUGAAUGAGUUGUCUAGUUGUGCAAUCGACAGUCUCACUCUCUUCACAGGACAUCUGUCUAAUUAUAAUAUUCAAAAUAUAUAUAUAUAUAUACACACACACAAAAUUAACACAAUAAAAUAGGCAUGUUUUACGGUUGUUUAUAUUUGCGUUCUCUGUCAGCCUUAGUUUAUUUAGAAUAUUUCACUUUAUAUGCAACUUGAUUGGUGACUCGGUGCAUUUUGAUUGGCUUCUGCAUGAGAUGAUGAGAUAAUAAUAAAUUAAUAUUGAUGAUAUCAACAACAAGUAAUGAUUCAAUUAUACUGUUGUUAUUGGUAAUGUCAUCCUGAAAUUCACAAAAUUGGAGUUUACUUGUUGGCUGAUAUCGUUUUUGUUUAUUGAAUGGCGGCAAUUCACUUCAGCUAUAUAAAAAAAUCUUGUUUCUAUCCACAAAAUGGUGCAAUAACAAUUAAACUAUAGAUUGAAAAUUUCUUGAUUUGGACUCUAAUUAAUCAAUUAUAAACUUUUUCCCAUUAAAACUUCUUCUGGGAAUUGCCAAAUAUUGGACAUGCUGACCGGAAUUGCUGCUUUCUUACCCCUAGCUGUAUAACUUUGUCCUCCCCAUCCAUGGUAUAAAGUGAAUGCCGAUGCAGCUGUCAGUUCCAAGGCUGAUUAUGCUGGAAUUGGAGUCUUAGUGCGCAACUCGGCAGGUGAUGUUAUGGCAGCUUCUAUUUUCCAAGUAUCUUUUUUGGGCGAUGUAGAGUUUGUGGAAGCCAUUGCCGUGCAGAAAGGAAUUCAAUUUGCAACAAACAUUGGGCUGGUUCCGUCCAUAAUCGAAUCUGACUCUCAAUGUAGUUAAUUUCAUUGGUAACAAAAUUACAAGAAGGUCUGACUUCUUCUCAAAGCCCUAUUAAAGUACUCUUUGCACCACGAUCUUGCAAUGAAGCGGCACAUCAUCUUGCCAAAUUAUCUCUAUCAUUCUACAGAGCAAGUUUGGAUGGAAGAAGCUCCUAGUGAGAUAUCUACUUAUGUAUACAAAGACAAACAUAUGUAACUUCUUCCGAUCAAUGAAGUUCCAGUUUAAAAAAAAUAAUACAUAAAUGAUAGAAGCAAUACGAUUAGGUCGGCUUUUUUUUUUUGUGUGGGGUCUCUGUAGUGUUAUUUUUUGUUUUUCAAAGUAUAAUAGCGAUGGCUUUAAGAAUCUUAUAUAUAUUCAUAAUGUGAAAACACCAAUCAAGUUUGUGAAUUAUAAAAUUAUUUCAUGAUUGAAAGAUUUGAAAAUAAUAGUCAGUUUCAGGAUACUGACUAUGAUUGUCAUUCUCAUUAACAGUACUAUAAAAACUUUCCAAAAUCGUUAAAGUUUUUAAUUUCCUUCAUCAUCAAUUUUGCUGAACAUGGGUUUGUAUUAGAAAAAUUAAGAAAUAUUAAAACACAAGAACUAGAAGCAUGUCCUUUGAACGCGUCCUCGUAGAUCACUCAAUACAUGUAAGUAUGUAAUUGGCAUGAAUAAUUAUAAAUAAUAAGAAAUCUAUCCGACACGAUGAAACUAAGGAAAUGUUCCUUAUAUACAAAAAUUAAACAAUUUGCAAAAUGUAAUUCUCCUAGUGAAAACGACAAGUUGCAUUUGCAGAUCAACAUCUAAUCAAGUGAUCCAUCUUACUAGCGCAUAUUAGACAAUCGGCAAUCUGUAGAGGCAGAUUAUUCGUUCAUAUCAAAUCAUAGUUCAAAAUAUGCCCUCUACGUAGCAUAUAGACAAGAACUCUGUCGAAUAAAUGAUCUGUGCAAUCUCAUACUAUGUUCCAAUUCCCAACCGUUUACUGCUUAUAACUGCAGGACACUUUGACAAUCAAGAUCUUCCAGAUGCACAGCGGCAUUCUUAAAGCAUCAAUAAUUUUUUAGGGGCGAUGGGUGAAGAAAAAAAAUUAAUGCUAAAUCUGACCAAAAUGGAUAUUUGUUUCUCAAUAGAACCCAAACCAUUACAAAGCAAUCUUGUUAAAAUUGUGCAACUAAUUUAAACUCUAGCUCAUAAAAUACAGCCUUUCCAGAAAGUAAAUACGCACAUUCCUCAGAGUUUGUGAUAUAUUAAUUCAAACUCAAAUCGCCUUAGCACAUGAAUUCAUAUGUCAGCGAGAAAUUAUGGCAUCUGAGCAGCGGUGUUCAACUUUUCUGCUAAGCUGAGCUGGGUCCUGGUGAUACUUGACAAAUAUAGCAAGAGCAACUGGUCCUGGAAGAACCAAGAAAAAGAAAAAGAUAAACAACUUAGAGUCCAACAACAAAUUAGAACAGGAGUCCAACAACAAGUUGGAACAGAACAGUCAUUAAUUGGACCAUAUUAACACAAACGCUACAUUCAUAAUCAUUGACAUCAGUUCUAGUUCUGUAGAAACUAAAGAAGGUUAGACUCAAUCUUACCUGUAGGCUGUCAUUUACAAGCUUGUCAAAAGCUGGAGGUGACAGUUUGGGAAGGGAGGCUACAGUCUCUGAAAGAAUACGCCCUACACUAUUAUCAGGUACAGCAUGCCCUUCCUGAGGGGAACACUCGUAUCAAAUCAGAUUAAAACUAUCUGAGAAUAAAAUAAGAACAGGAAAAUUAUCAUACUUACCACAGUGUCAUCAACAUAUUUGUAGAUAUCGUUAAUAAGAGUUAGUAGCCGUUCCAUCAGGACUUCCAUUCCUUCCAAAUCACUAGGGAGUUUGUCAACCGAUGUUGACUUCAGAAUAUCGACUGCCAUCACGAUAAAACUUUUGUUAUUCAAUUGCAUGCCCAUCAGGAUACCAACCAUCAUAUAAAUCAGCUUGUAUGAAAGUUCUAAAUUUACGAACAAUUAGGGGGACAAAAAACAAGACAGAGCUGAGAAUAAUGAUGAUAUAAACAUGCACCACUAAAGGUUAUUUGUUAUGUUAGAUCAUAUAUUCUGCAGGAAGCUAAUACCAGUCUAUUUUGAUUUCAUAUAAGCGAAUUCAGUAAUAUAAUGGCAGAUCAAACAAUCCCCCUGGCAUAUUAGAUGUGAAUCAAAAUGACAAGCAUAUACAUACAUCCAACUCGCUCAGCUUCAAUCAUUCGAAGAUCAAGAGGGAUUUCUUGAAAUUGUGCAGCAAGCUGUCGAUCUCCAAGAGACAAAUUGACAGAAACAUAAGCUUUUACAGUACCCUCUCCAUUUCUGAAUCCUGUAUCUACAGUCAGGUGGACAGGAUUAGGAACUUCGCGACAAUAGAAUUCAUGGAUCAAGGCACUGCCACCAGUGACUCCCAACCCUGUAGAAAACCUGCCACAUUCACAAAAGAACAAUUGCAUAAGACAUCAACAAUUCAUAUAGAUAACAAAUUUGAUUUACGGCAGAGAAAUCAUAGAGAGACGAGAAGUACCAUCCAACAAUCACUUCCUGAGGAUUCACCUUUAGGUGUGACUUUAACAUGGUAUGAUGGUAUUCAAUAUCCAAUGCAACCUACAAAUAAUAGACAUUGGGUCCAUAAGCUUCCUAGUUCUGGCUGAACAAAAACACAAUUCCUAUUAUACUGUUUACCAGAAUUUAUGAAAAUAUCAUUCACAAACAUAAUUGCAAAAACAGAAUGACUUAAGCACAAUCAUAUAUCCAUAAAUAAGCAUUGUACAACUAAUUUCAGUAACCUCAAACAGAACGACUUCAGCACAACCCUAUAUCCCAUAAAUAAUCAAUGUACAAAUAAUUUCAGUAACCUCUCACCAAAAUAGUAGUAAUUUAUAGUUCUGAACCUAGCUAACGUUGAUACAUUGCUACUCAAAACCUCGAUGAUAAGUAAUUCAGUAUCUAUUCAUCAAUUUAUCGCAACCAAUCGGUGAAGGUUAUAAUUUUCCUUUUUCUAAGGGGAAAAAAUCUUUUGGUAAUUUUCUCAGCUUCCAAACAUAUCAUAAACAUAACCAAAGCAUCUUCAAUCAAUAAAUGCAACCCUAAUACAUAGCUACAAAAUCAAAACCACCAAACUAUGUAAUUUAGUAUUUAUUCAUAAAUUUACCUCAAACAAUUGGUGAAGGAUAUGGUUUUUCUUUUUCUUUUAAAAAAAAUUCCUUUUAGUAAUUUUCUUAGCACUCAAACAGAUCAUAAGCAAAAGCAAAGCAACUUAAAGCAAUGCCUACCAGCUGAGAAUAUCAAACGAACGUAAAAAAGAAAUAAAUAAAUAAAGACAAAAUAAUAAAAAUAAACAAAAAUAAGGACCUGAUCGGAGAACUCGUUGUGAGGAACGACGUAGGAGUUACGGAUAUCGACGGUGCCAUCAGGCAAAACGGAGCCAAGAAGCGUGCCGAUGACGCGUUCAGCUUGGUCGGGGCGUCUGACGUAACAGUCGGAGAUGUUGAAAAUAACCAGCGGGUGAACUUUCGCCGUUAUAUUCGACGUCACCGCUGAUGAAGGUCCGAAUUGCAGAACCGUGCGGUCGCUUGCCGCCAUUCUUAUCUUCUUCUUCUCUUCUGAUCUCGACUCAAAAAACAAAGAGGGAGAGCUAGGGUUUUGAAAAUCUCGAAUUGGACAGUCCAAAGAGUUAUUACCACUUACUACUGGCAUCGUAAACCGUCGUGGUACUGGAUUGGGUUGGGCCUUUUCAGAUAAUUACUGUAAAUAUUUCCUCGAAAUACUAAAUACACCGACCUUUCAAUUGAACUUUUAAAGGUGUGAAGCAAGCCCAACAAAUAAUUGGGCUAAAUUGCAAAACCCGGAACACAUGUAUUUAGAGCAUCUCUUAAAAAGUAUUUUAAAUAAAAAUUUUAUUACUUAUUUAAAGAGAUACUAAAGAAUUUAAAAUUUCAAAAGACACUCCAAUUAAAAUUCUUUAAAUAAAAAAUAAUUCUCUCUUUUUAAUUUUGUGGAGUUAUUUUCUCACUCUUCAAUUUGUAUUUUAUUUAUUGGAGAGAGAGAAAGAAGUGUUUUAAUUACUAUUUAUUUUUUCUUUGAAAAAAUAUUUAUUUAAUUAAAAUAAUAUUAACUUAUUUUUAUUUAAAAAAUAUUUUUGGAGAAAAACAUAUCUUUUCACCCUCCUUUUUACCACAUAGGUAAAUAAAUAGAUAUUUAAAAAGUAAAAUUGAUAAUCUUUUAAAGAUGUUCUUAGAGUGAAGCUAUUGGCACUCUUCUAAAAUUCUCAUCAAACGUCACUUUUUCAUUAACAAAUCUAUAUUAAUUCAAAAUUACAUAAAAUGAAAAAUUGAGUUACAGUUAAACAUUUUAAUCUCUUCAGAUUUUAUUAUUAUUAUUAUUAUUUGAAAUCUUUAUUUCACGUUGACCACUAAUAAAUAUAUGUCAGAUUUGAAGACAAUUUUUUUUUUUGGGUUUAUAUCUUCAAAUUUUUAAUUCAUCUCCUUUCAUUAUUAUUUUUUUUCGAUUCACUAACAGUUCAAUUGGUUUGUUGAGUAAUUAACUCCACAAAAAUAAGUUGAUUAACAAAGAUUUUUAAAGUGAUUGUGCUAACCUAGUGAAUUUUAGUUUCCAUCUCUAAUUUUGUGAAAAUUAAAUAACAAUGAAAAAAGGAUUUUUGUGUCGAAAUCCAUGAAAUAAAUAAUUAAAAAAAUCAUAAUUAUAAGCUUGGAUUCUGCAAAGAUGUUUAAGAUUUGUUGUUGGACGAGAUUUUAAUUUUAAAAAAAAAUAAAUUGGGAUUUAAUUUGAUUGGUAUUCUACAUGUCCUUAUAUGUAAUUUUCUCCCGUGAUUAACUGGUCUCGCGUAUUUUUGUUUCCAUCUCUAAUUUUGUAAAAAUUAAAUAACAAUGAAAAAAGGAUUUUUGAGUUGAAAUCCUUAAAAUAAAUAAUUAAAAAAUUAUCAUUACAAGCUUGCAAUUUGCAAAGAUGUUUAAGAUUUUUUGUUGGACGAGAUUUUAAUUUAAAAAAUAAAUUGGGAUUUAAUGUAAUUGGCCUUGUGCAUGUCUUUAACUGUAAUUUUCUCCCGUGAUUAAACUAUAAAUAUAAAAGUACAUGGUUUUAUAAGAAUAAUAACGGGGGUGCCAAUAGCUUUACUCAUGUAUUUGUUGGAAUUUCCUAUGUAAAACCUUAAUGCCUUUAUAGCCUUUUGACCUUCUAAAUUCUCUAUAAAAACCCUCUUCAAUUGAAAUUACCCAAAUAAGCAAAGAUAAAGUAAUUUUUUUUAUUUGGAAUGAAAAUUCAAUUAAAUAUUUAAAUGAAUUAUUCUUUUAUCAAUUUCUUACACCCACCUAUUUCAUAGUUUAUAUUUGUAUUUUCGAUUUUAAUUAAAAAAUUUCUUGAGAAAUUUUUAAGAAUUAAAAAUUAUGGAGAUAGAAAUUAUGUAAUAGUAAGAAAGUAAUUUUUUAUUUUAAGAUUUGUAUGAACUUAUAAAUAAAAACUUAAAAGAAAUACUCUUUGUAGUGUGAAAUUUAACGACAAGAUGAUUGAUUUUAAUCCAUGGAUUAGUAUUUUAUAAAUUAAGCUAGGGUAUUUUAAGGAAUAAAAUUCAAAUGGAGGUGUUAUAAGGAUUUUUUAGGAGCGUUAAAAACUCCACUCUUAAUUAAUAAUUAAUACUAUAUUUUGGUGAGGUAACGCAUUAUCUUUUGUAAAUGGAAAAUAUGAGGAUAUCACCUUUUACCUUCUUUAUCAUGCCUCAUAUAUCUGUCUUGCAAGUCUUCGUUUAAAAAAAAAAAGUAAAUAAAUAAAAUAUGUGAUGAGCAUAUAAUAUAUACAUAUUUUAUCCUUAAUUUUACAAUAGUUAUUUAUUUUUAAUUAGUUGAAUUAUUUUAUUAAAUAGAAAAUUAAUUGGAGAUUUUGAAUAAAAAUGACCUGAAGAAAUUUAAUUUGAGAAGUAAUGAAGAUUAAAUUGGAAAUCAAUUAAAAGACGAGAAUUAAUGGAAGCUCUGGCCAACAAGAAUUUGAAGACCAAAUUCGGAAGUCAAUUUCAUCAAACAAUAAACGGUGGACAUGCAAUUAGAAAAUAAAGAUUUGGUUAUGGCAUUUGCAUUUGCAUGGCAUUAUAUAUUAUGGAAAGCAAUUUAAAGGAAUCCAUGAGUUAGCAUUACAAGUGGAAAGAAAUUCAUUGCUUAUGGUGUUGAUAAGUAAUGUUAGCAUUAAUUAGGAAAAUUGACUUUGCAAUUGGAAUUAGAAUCCCAAUUGGAUUGGGCCAAUUAAUGCAUACAGAAUCCUUUUCAUAACUGGUGGUCAUGGGCGUUAUAAAGAGAAGCCGAAGAGAAUUGAAGGAAGGGAGCCGGCAUUUGGCGGAGAGAAGCAUCAGUUCAGUUUUUCCAGGCUGAUUUUCUUUUAUUUGCGGCUCUCAAUUCAAGUAUGUUCAACUAAUUUUUUUAUACUGAGGUUAAGAAUAAAAUGAUAUUCAAUGAAAUAAUUAUAUUUUUAUUUAAUUAAUUUCCUACAUAUGUGUUUUAAUAUUUAUGGUUCUUGUUUUGUACAUUUAGUUUAAUAUAAUUAAAUCUUUUCACUAAUUUUGUCAUGCAUUAUUGAUUAUUAGAAUUACUAUUUGACAAAAUAUAUGCUGGGAUUUAUAAAGUUUAUAAGUGAUUAUCUUUGAUUCUGUGUCCUUCAUUAUAUUAUUUACACUGAGUGUUUAGGAAAACUUUGACUCUUUAUUAUUUAAUAUUGUUUGUAUGGGAUACUUAGAUACCAUACUAUUAAAAACCCGCACAAUAUUAAUUUUAAUUUGGGCUUAAUUGUUAUAUCCAUGAGAUAACAUAGAUAUUGAUUUCAAGUUGUCACUCUAAAAUUAUGAAUUAAUUAUGAAACUUUGGUAACUUUUGUCUUAUUAAAUUCUCCUUUACUUUAAUUGUUUUCUUAGUUUAAUUAGUUUAAUUUCUCUUAAAACGCAAUUUGCUCAAAUAGAUUAUGAUUAAUAUUAAUUUUAGAAUUAAAUUAGACUUUUCAAUUUAAAGCAAUCUUUAUAGGUUUGACUUCGUUACCACUAUUCUAUUUCCAAAUUCAUGCGCUUGCAAGUAUAUUAAUUUUUUUUUCACAACAAUAUGCAUAACCUAAAUCUACUAAUUUAAUGGUUUCCUUCAUGUACAGAGUUAUGGACAGAAUUACAUAAAAAAUGAAUAAUAUUAUAUUGCUAAUCUACACAAGCAAAUAACCAAACAAGGUCACUAGCAUCAUUGUUGUGCUAGGAGGAAAUGUAAGUUGAGCUUAUGUCAUUCUUAAUUGUCAACUCUCAUAAUAUAUAUUCCUCUAUGAGUCAGGAACGUAAUGAUCUUCACUUUGAAAUUAAACUAAGGCUAAUUCAACAAUGUCACUAUUGGCUAUUAUUUAUUGUGAGCUUGGAAUUGUAUAUAUAUAUAUAUAUAUAUAUAAAGUUGGGACUUGAGUAGGUGAUGUGGCAUCACCAUUUCUCAUCUUUGUAUAUUCUCUAUUAUCUAAUAAAUAGAUAAAUUUUCUUUUAGAUUUGGCUUUUCAUCUUCUCAUAAUUAAUUUGAUUGUUAUUACACAAUAACAAUUAUGUAAAGAUUUUAAUGAGGCAUAUUCUUUGUAAUGAACAUCCAAGAGAGAGUGUUAUGAAUUUAUUAAAAUAAAUGUAGAUGUUCAUAGCAUAUAUCUCUUAGUCUUCUCACUAUCUCUCAUUAGCAACCUUUAGCUUCCCUAUAACUCCCACUAUCUCACAAGGAAUUAUGAUCCAUAAUUUUUCAUUAAUAUCAUGGAGUGAUUAUGUAACUAUCAAAUGAGAGCUCAUCUUUUUGUUUUGUACACACACAAUUGGAAUGAAUAAAAUCACUCUAUAAUAUAUUCUCUCAUUUUAUUCUUUAUCUUGCAUUGUUUUUUUAUUUGUAUUGCUGGCUAAUAGCUUUUUUUAUUUUUUAUAAGGCUGCCUCAUCUUGAUAAAAAAAUCAAUUCAUAUUUUUUAUCAGUUUCAUCAAGUGUAAAGUAAAUAAAAGGAUAAUACUAAAUUCUUUUUUCAAAGCCGCGUGUAGAUUAGCUAUUGAAGAGCUUGAAUUGUGUUUUCCACACGGUCCAUGAAUCAUAAAUUUGUUAACUGCAUUAUAACCAUCAGGAUCAACAUUUAAGUCAGGGAUUUCUGCACUUAUUAUUUUAUCAAUAUGGUCUGCAGAAGGAUUUUUCAUUGUUGGAUGCAAAAAAAAGCAGUAUGUGUGCAUGGGGCAAGCCUCUUUUUUGAAACUCAAUUGUAUAUAGACCUGCCACAAAAUGGAGUAAAAUUUAGAAGUUAGAAAUAUUGAUUUCAAUUGUGAAAUUAUUGUUCUUCCCUACACUUUUCAAUAACAAAUGAGUUGAAUUUGUUAUGGAUACGAAUUUGAAGUGACUUACAUGCAAUUAUUUUUCCAAACGAUUGAUCUUUUUUCAGAUCUUGCAUUAGUUGGAAUAAUUUUAUCUCAAAAACUCUGCAUAUGAUAUCGACUCGAUUGUCAUCAUUCUUUUGUCCAACUAAUCGGAGCAUGUUAUUUAUUUCUUGCCACUUUGGGUUGCAAGUGAAAGUAAGAAAUAAAUCAGGAUAUCCUGCCCAUUUACAAAUUGCCAUAGCAUCUUGAUAAUUUUGUAUUAAUGUGAAAGCAAACAUGGAGUUAUAAGCCCUGAUAUUUUUUCCAAAUUUAGAACCCUUUUGUGCAGAAUCUACCCCGAGAAUAUAUUUGAGUAAAGGAGGUGUUUCUUUCAUGAAUGGAAUCUGUACACGACCUUCCAUACAACAAAAUGUGAAUUUGGGAUGUGAGACCCUUUUGGUUUUCUUGUUCCGUUCCUCGUACCAUAAAAUGGCACCACAAUAUUGACAUGUGUAUGUAGGGGGUCCAAAAUUCCAAGGCGUUGUGUAAUGAACAUGUUGUUUUCUCAGUAAGCAAGUUUGUUAAAGCUUUCACGAACACAUUUGUGAAUACUUGCUUAGGGAGAUACAAGCCAACAUAUUUAAGAGAUUGUCCUUGUCUUUUGUUGAUCGUCAUGGCAAAACAUGGUGCCAAAGGAAGUUGUCGUCUGUUAAGUUUGAAUGGCCAUCUUGAUUCAUUAGGAGACAUAAUAAUUCUUGGAAUUGUGACAUUUUGUCCAAUAUUUGUUCAAGAAAUGAUGUCACCUCCAAUGGACCAUUUACCAAGACGAGUGACAAUCAAUCUUGUGUCGUUGCAUAGGCCUUCUAUUUGAUUUAGAGCUUCUGAAUAUUAAUUAUUCUCUAAAUCAAGAGAAGAAUGCACACAUAACAUGGGGUUAACAAUUAAUGUCUCUAAUUACCUAAUCAAGGACCUAUCAGGCAAUCACAUGGCGAAAUAAUUGAAAUUAUCUACAAAUUAAUUCGGAAAUUGCAUGAUUAAGUGAACGCGCAAACACUAGAAAACAUGGACGUGAAGGAAGUGAUUUUAAUGAGCAAAGGAGAUGGAGAAAAAAAUUAAUUACUGCCUGCUAUUCGUAGUUGGUUUGUUCAGAAUUGCUAGGAAGUGACCAAAGUUCUUGUAAUUAUAUUUGAAUUUUGUGACACAAAGUCUAUGAUUUCGACUGCUUUCGGAUGAAAACAAAUUUUAUGAAAGGUCCAACUCAAAUUAUAUAUAAUCCAGGAAUUUGCAAACGAAUAGAAAUAAAGUAAUAAACGAUAUUAAGCUCACUAGCAUCUUUUCUUAUCCUAUCAUUCGUAAUCAUUGGCAAUUAAAAGUCAUAAGCAACAUCAUUGACGAUGAGCUGUGAAAAAAAUGUAAUUAUCUUCGUUGGAAAAUCAAAGCAGGCUAAUCAAAUGUGGCUUGAAUAAUGGAAGGAUCUAAGAAUAAGAAAAUUGAUUCCUAUUUAUAGUCAAGAAAAUGAGAUGUGUCACUGUUUUUGACUAAUUAAACAACAGCUAUCUUCUCCCAAAAAUAAAAAAAUAAAAAAGAAUAAAAAUUAAACAACAACUACACUAUAAAAUAUAAUUGGAUCAAGUGAACCUACAAAUGAACAAGGCAAAUUAGAAGACUCAAAUGGAUGUGAAGAAGUGUUUUUCAUGAAGAAGUGAGAUAACGAAAAUAGCAAUGCUCAAAGCUCUUCAUUUAUAAUGUGCUCAUUCGUUCGUUCGUUCGUUCGUUCGUUCGUUUUUUUUUUUUAACUUUUAAUUUUUUUUUCUUUUUUCCAAUCAUAAAUAUAUAGAUAAAUAACCAUCAGUCUCCAUGUAUAUAUAAAUGCAAUGCAGCAAAGGGUGGCCGAGUUAUCAAAGCCAGUACUGGAGAGUGCAGUUCAAUCUCGAUCUCCUCGGAGAAGAGGGUAUCUCGAACGAAAUAUUGAACGUAACUUAUUUUGGUUGUUCUUCAAAUCCAAGCACGUUUUCGGUGGUAUCAAGUGUCAUUGAAAAUGUAGAAAAGAAAUGCGAGGAGUUAAAUUAUCAAAUACAGGAGUUUCCCUUUUACUUGAAUGAUUUGCCGGGCAAUGAUUUUAACAUUGCUGUUCCAGGGACUAUCUAGUUUUGGUGAAAGAUGUAAGGAUUUGUCAUUGUUUACAGUGGGAGCUCCCGGUUCUUUCCAUGGCUGGCUUUUCCCAACCAACAGCUUGCAUCUUGUUCAUUCUUCUUACGGUGCCCAUUGGCUCUCUAAGAUGCGUUUACCAAUUUUAAAGUAUAUGUUAAUCUGUUACUCUUGCGCUUAGUUAAUUUAUACUUCUUGAUCAUCAACACAAAUAGGGUUGACAAAAAGCAGUCAACAACUUAGCUAUCAACUUAACUUCUAAAAUGAAGUUUUAAAUGUGUUGAUGCCAAAAUUUGGUCGAGCUUUUGAUAGCGACGAGGUUGCCUCGCCAACACUUGAAUUUAUUUUGAUGGGAAACUGCUAACUGCUACUCUGAUGGAAUUGGAAUUGUCACCUUACUUCAUUGUUACCUGCAACAACAGAAAAUUGUCAGUGAUCUUUUUCUAACGAAAACCCUUCGACGGUCAAGUCAAUCAUCAUAUUUUCUUAUAUGGAACUAUUAUCACUCCUCUCGUGAUCUUAAUUAUUUUUUAUAGGCACCCGUGAUUAUCUUUCCGGGUUAUUAUAAACACCCGUGAUUAUCGUGUGUUCUUCAAUGUGCGACUGUUACUAGAUUGAAUGUGCUGCUUUGAAUUAGAAGUUAAUGUACCCAUUUCUGCGUAGUUAUUGAGUUGCAAUUGUAACACCCGGAUGUGCCUGGACGUUAUGACCAAAUUUCUAGGUGGAGUUCAACGAUCUGAGAAUUAAUCAAUCGAAUGACCUGAUUCUGGUCUCCUCGCAACUUUCUGAUCGUGCUUUCACAUGCGACCAGUUAGAUCUCUCCUUGAUGUUUCAUAUUAUCUUCACAACAUCAAUAUCCAAUAGCCAUAUUUCUAUACCCCAAACAAAAUGUUUACUAAACAACGUUAGCAACUAAAGUUUCACAGCACAAUUUUGAAUAUUUACUCCUUUUUUUCAGGUGAAUUUUAUUGAUAAGGUGGUUGAUUUUAAUUUAUAGAUUAAUAUUUUAUAAAUUAAAUGGGGUAUUUUGGGGAAUAUAAUUCAAAAGGGGUGUUAUAUGUAUUUUUUAGGGGUGUUAAAAAAUCAUCUCAAAUACUAAAUUCACCGACCCUAAAUGGCCUAAAGCAAGCACAAAUUAAUCAUUAGGCGAAUUUCAAUAAGCCCAUAAUCUGAACACCUAAAUUUAUGGAGUCUUCUACGAGUGUAAUGUUGUAAUAUUUAGAAUAAUUACUAUUAGUUGUUUUGUAUAAAUAAUAAAGAGGAUCUAUUAAAAUUUUAAUAAAAUUUAUUUUUAAAGUAUUGUGAGUUUUAAAACUAGUCGUAUGUGUUUGGCAAAUUUUUUUGUUAAACAAUUGUAAAAAUGCACAUAACUGAAUUAGAUAUAAUGUUGAAUAAAAUUUAUUUAUACAUUUAUUAGCAUGUAUAUAAAGUAUUUUUUUUUAUUGUGUACAUAUAAUUAUUGAUAACUAAGAUAGUAUACUGAUAACUAAAAUCAUCAUUUUUAUAUUAUUAAUUUUAUUUUUAUUUUCUUAGCUCAAUAUAAUUGGCAAUAAUAUUAAUCUCUUUAAAUAUAAUGAUUUUAAAUUUUUAUAAUAUAUAUGAGGAUAUAUAUGGCAUUAUAUUAAAUAUAAAAUUGAUUAUCAAAAUCAUAUUUUGAAAAAUUACUCCUCUCUACUCAUCAAAAUCCGCCGUAAGAUGAGAUGAUUUUGCCAAAAAUUACUUCUAAAAGAAUUUACUAAACACUAAAACCAGUGGUUUCCAGAAUAAACUUAUAAAAUAACAAAAUUAACUUUUAACUUUUUCAAAUCACUCUUAAACCUCUUAAAAGCAAUUUGAAAAGAGUUGUCAAUCAGUUUCUCAUGCAGACAAUCGAUAAUAAAGAUCAAAGGCACUACAGGAGAAUAAAAAACUUUUAGAACUGGUUACCUUACACAACUAUCUAAUUCGCUCAUUCCAAGUAAUUUUAGUGGAUCAACAAUUGCAUCUUUGAUCAUAUCUACAUAUUCACUUGGUAAAAACAAAGAUGAAAGUAUUGUUAUCUUAUUCGCAGUACUAAAAAUGAACAAGUUAUCAUUUUGUAUUUUUCAUUUUCUUUGUUUGGAGACAAACCUCUAGUGCGAUCAAAUCCAUAGUCAGGAUUGUCAUGCUUCAGAAUUUCUUCCACAACAGUUGAACCCUCAAAUCCAGCAGAUGAAGCAAUAGCAUACAUGGGCACAUUUGCAAGCAUAAGUUAUUUGUAAUUAAGAACAUUAAGGAUAUAUAUUUUUCAUUUCAUUUGCAUUGAACAAGGGCAUUGAAUUAAUAUAAAAUUUUGGUUCAGUCCUUAUCAAGAGUAACAGAAUAAGACUUACAACAUACUACAAAAAGAAUAGCUAACUUUCCGGCGGCCGUGGUUGCGUACAACUUGUCCAACUCCUUUGAUGCAUGUACAAGUGCGACCCUGCUACCUGUAGAAAACAUGGAAAUAAAGAAUCUUAGAUUAGCAAUUUAUAUAUCAUGAAUUCCCCUUCAACGUAGAAUUCUAACUUAAAAUAGUGGGAAGUAUUCAAACUAUGCAAGCAAAUAAUAUAAAUGAUAGAAUUUAAAGGAACGCAAAGAGAAUAGCCAAAGACAAUAGACAAUCUUGGAGAGCUUCCGUUAGAUGCGGCGAUGGUUUCUGUAUUCAAUUCUGCUCUAUGAAUGUUAUGAAUUACAAAUAGCAUGCCUUCUAUUUAUAGGGUUACAAAUGAGCAGCACUUAGCGGUGGAACCAUGGCCUAGUUUGCUACAUACAAACCAAGUACUUUAUUGUGAAUCACACCCUUCAAUUUUACUUGAAUGAUUUGCCGGAUAAAUGAUUUCAACACACUAUUCACGGUACUCUCUCUUUUUGCUGAAAGAUAUAAGGAUGUGUCAUUGCUUAUUAUGGGGGCUCCUGGUUCUUUCCAUAGCCGGCUUCUCCCAACCAACAGCUUGCAUCUUGUUCAUUCCUCUUACGGUGCUCAUUGGCUCUAAGGUGCCUUUAUGACUUUAUAUAUAUGCCCCUCUUUUUUUCAAAUGUCGUCCUUGUUAAGACAGUGAUAACAUUGAUUAAUGCUGUGUACAUACUUGAUUGCUCAAGCUUUUAGAUCUAGUUAGCUGAAUCAUUGACACAGUAUUAGACUCAAAUUUCUUAUAUCGUUCAAUUUCACCAAGUGCAAACUCCAUCUACACUUUCUAUUUCAAAUUUUUAAUUUGUUAUAUUUUUGGGCUUUGUUUUUUGACCCAAUUGUUUCAUUCAGGCACCCGUUUCAGUCUCUUUUUUUUUUUUUGGUUUUGACCACGAGGUAUCCUGGGGAGGGCCCCAACUGUGAGAGGUACUUUUAAGCCCGUACCACAACCCAGACUAGAAGUCACCGCUCGAACCGAGAGGCACAAGUUCUCCCAACAAAGGCGACUUCCCUGCGACUCGAACUGGGGAGCAAACCCAGUCAAGCCACUUAAGGGGACUCCAUUACCAGUGGAGCCAACACUUUAUUGGUCCGUUUCAGUCUCUUUUACACACACACACAGAUACCCUUAAAUGAGUAACGAUAUUUGAUCUUUCAAAAUAUUUUACUAAUUUUAACUUCUCAAUUAACUCCUAUUAAAAUUUGUAAAAAUAUUGAUCUCUCUCAAUAUGCCUCGUCUAAUCCUUAUUUUAACCUUAUUAUAAUUUUAAUAAUUUUCAUGGCUCCACUGCAUAAAAAACUUCAAAAUUCUGCUCACUAAUUAUGAUAUUCUUUCUCUUCUUUCUUUUUCAGGGUUUUUUGUUUCAACAAUUUACCGCAGACUUUAAAAUGCUUGCAGCUUGCCGUCAUCUAAAAGAAUAAAUGUAGGAAAAAUAAAUAGCAUAUUAAAUUUUCAAGCACUGUUAUUUUCAAUAGCAAAAUAGAAACCAACCGCUAGAGAGAAUAAAUUGUUACUGAAGAGCUUGUUCAUUAAGUUAGUUAGUUGAUAAGUACAUCAUACCCCUUUGCUUUGAUUGCUUACAAACUAAAAUAGAGAAGAAAGUUUCCCUCAAAUAUUAAUGAAAAUUCAUCCUUUUAUUUCGCCCUACCAUCCAUGCACUUGGUUAGUUAUUUUUUUGCUAUUACAGUUGGGGCAUAAUAGAUGAAAGAAUGACGUAGAAGAUUAGAUGAAAGUUGCAGUUAUAAGAGAUGAUAUACAGAUACGCACAAGAAAGAGUUGGGAGAUGGUGAGAGAAAGAGAAAGGGGGAGUAAAUAAAUAAAUAAAAAUUAGAAUUUAUAACAUAAACCGUUUCAUUUGAUUUAUAAAAUCUCAAACAUUGAUUUAGGGGGAGUAAAUAAAUAAAUAAAAAUUAGAAUUUAUAACAUAAACCGUUUCAUUUGAUUUAUAAAAUCUCAAACAUUGAUUUAUUUUAAAUCAAAGGCACUAGAAAUUGUGCAAAAACUUAAAAACUAUUUAUCCUUUUUAGUAAUUAUUUUUUAAAGGAUAAAAUGCAUAUUAAAAUAAAAGUGAUUAUUAGGGAUUAGAGAGAUAAUUUGACGGAGUCAAAUGUCACUACCUCUUAAAAUUACUCAUAUUUUUUAUCCAUUUGUCACUUUCAUAUAUUUAUGUUGGUCUCUCUAUGCCCAGACACACUUACAAUUGCCAAUCAUAAGCUCAUCUCUCAAAGACUCAAACCAUUAACCUCAUUCUCGAUUAUCUACUUUCAAGUGAAGGGGGCUAUUAACUAUUAGCUUUACUACUUAAUGAUGCUACAUGUCUUAGAUAUACCAAGAUUGACAGUAACACAUGAGGCAAGAUUGACAAUGAACAACGGGAAGAUUUAUACUGUUAGACUUAUUUUUAUUUUGUGCCCUAAAAGUAUGUGAUAAAUAAUUUUUUUAAUUUCAUAACGUUUAUUUAUUCACAUUUAUUUGAGCAUACAUUAUUAGUCAUUAUUUAUAAAGUAUGUGAUUUAUGUAUUUAGCGUAUGAUGUCUAUCAUAAAUUAUAUAAAUCUUAGGUUCUUUAUAAAUAAAAGAUUGUUCACAGCCAUUAAUGAAAUGAGCACUUCAUUAUGUAGGGUUAUAACUUUUCUACUUCUACUAUGAGUGAUUUUAACUUAGAGUAGAAAAAUUAAUGUGUAUGUGAUAUGCAUAUUGAACUAGACUAUAGUGAUAUAUGAUCUAGUUUAAUAAAUGCCAUUGAUCAUAUUCACAUAAGCUUUAAUAAGUUUGAUCGACUUUAAUCUUGGGCGAAUAAUGAAUUCACAUUCGUGUAUUACGUCUUUUGACUUAUCCUGGAGCGAGAUCCAUAUAAAUAGUCAAAACCUUGAUAGCUUGGAGAUGUAAUUUCAUGAAUCGUGGGAACAUAUACUUACAAGAUGGAAUCUAUACAAUGAUGGUUACUUAAGUUAUCUGUCGUACUUGAUCAUUUAAAUUUGUGGCCACAGUUUAUUCAAUAAAUUAUUUAUUGAAUAAUAAUAUUUAUUUGUAAUUUAUUUACAAAUAUAUAUAUUGAAAGUGAUCAUUAGAACAAAUAAUGACUUGAGGAUAAAUAUGUAAUUAUAGAAACACAACAUUUAUCAUUAGAGGGUUAGUGGUUAUAAUUGAUCUAAGAUCAAGGCUAAAAUUAUUUAAAACGAGUUUUAAUUAAUUGGGAUAAUUACAUGGUUACCAGAGUGUAACUUUGAGUUUUUAGUGGAAUAGUCUAGGGUUAACAUAAUAGUUUUGGUGUGUCAUGAGAUGACUAGGCCUUAAUUAUCAAAAGGAAUUUUAGUUAAUUGGGAUAAUUUCAUGGGUUACCAGAGUGCAACUUUAGGCUUUUAGUGUAAUAGCCUUGGGUUAAAAUAGUAGUUUUGGUACGUUAAGAGAUGACUGAGCCUUAACUAUUAAGUUGGAGUUAUAAGCUCAUAGGUCUACAGUCCCUCUGUCAGCUCAAUUCCAUAGUCAAACUCUGACUCUAAUAAGUGCCCAUUUAAAGGAGAGGAAAUUAGAAAAGAGAAAUACCUUUGCAUAUAGAUUUUCUUCAAUAAGAAAAUUAUAUUUCUAGGGUUUCCAUCUCCUACAAAAAAAAAAAAAAAUUAGGGUUGAUUACACACCCACUCGUAUGAGGGAGAUAAGGGAGACAAAUGAGGAUAGUAAAGAAGAUUGCAGCCAUAUUUUGUAGAUCCUAAUAAUAGUGGUGGAAAGAUUACAAUGAUCUUCUCCAAAUCUUGUACAAGAGAUUAAGGUAUUUCUCUAACCCUUUGCAUGUAAACAUAAUCAAAAAAAGUUAUUGGCUUCUGGUGAUUUUAUAGAAUAGAAAAAUUAUUUUUCUAGUUCUAAUUUCCAAUUUAUAUAUCUAAGACAAGCCCUAGUGCCAUAUCUUGCUCAGUGUGAAGAAGACUUCGCCUUCUUUUUGAAGUCACGCUCACAAGAGAUAGUAGUACAAAACGGUCGUGUUGUCUUGGUGUUAGAUGAAAAGCCAUCUUAAGAUUUCAUUACAAAAGAAAGCUGCUAUCCAUGGGAACCUUUAGCUGAGGCCAUACCUGCCUUGGUCUCCAAGAUAACAAUGGCAAUCCUAAAGUUCACUUGCUUAUUUUAGGAAUAAUGCAAAUUCAAAACAUAUAGUGUAUUUUUAAAAUUUUAAUAUCAGUAUAUAACAUCAGAACUCUGAUGUUAACAAAGGACACUUUAAGCAAAAUAAAUAAAUAAAAUCAUGAGUAAUAAUGUGAAAAAUCUUAAAAUUAUAAGGGACAAUUUUGAUAUUAUAAAAAAGGGGGAAAAUUUUCCAUGAGCAUAUAUUCUAUAUAUUCUACAUAUGCUCAUAAUUUUGUACUUCUCUUCCAUGAUCUUAACUUUCCUAGGCUUUGUGAGAUCACAUCUCACAUGUUUGUCAAAAUCCAUUAUUUUGGUUUAUUCAUCUCAAUUAACGAAUAAUCCCUAACAAGUCAUUUGCUUAAGCAAAUGUUUAAAAGUUGAAUAACGUCAUCUAUGCGUGUGUAUCAAGGGAUCUAACCACACCAGGAGUUCUUGAAUAGACAGCCAAUUACUUUUUCUGUUAUUCAAAUCAUACUUCAAAAAGGUCCGUCACACGGACGGUUGGGCCCAUCAACAGUACUUUUCAUUUUGAACGGUCAGUUUUCCACUUCAUUAAAGAGGGGAUGACUGAAAGAAGUCGAACUUGUUUACUUUUCCAUAUUAUAUACCCCCAUCCAAACACGAGGUCAAAGAUGUGUGCUAGACCAAGUACGCGCGGAUCCUUUGAAAUCAACGAAGUUGGUUUGUUAAGAAUUACUAGAAAGUGACCAAAAUGCUUGUAAUUGUAUUUGAAUUUUGUGAAACAGAGACUUUGAUUUUAUUCGCAUCACUUUGGGAUAGAAAUAGUUAACAAAUUGUAUGAAAAUUUCAAUCAAAUAUAUGAGUAAAAUUGUUUUCAUUGCAAAAUUAAAAGUAGACUAAUAAAUUAUGGCUUAAAUAAUGGAAAAAGACGAAAGUUAUUGCUUUGAAUAGUCAACAAAUUAUUAUUUGACAGGAACACUCAAGACACAAAAUGGGGUGCUGCAUUUGACAAUUAAUGCGAGGGGCCAAAUUUCAUUUUUUAUUUUAUUUUAUAAUUAUUGUGUUUCAUUAAUAACCUCGUAUAAAACUCGUGAUGGUCAAUGAAAAAUAUUCAACUCAUACAAUCCGUGACAAUGUCUUAGUACUUUAUUAUUAUUGAUUUGGACAGUUUACUAUAUAUUUUAUUUUGCAAUCAUAAUAGAGUCAUGGGCCUCACAGAACAUGACGUGAGAACAUGUUUUUUUUUUUUUUUUUUUAAUUUAUAAUUUUAAGCUAAGCUGUAUAUAAAACCUAGUGUCAUAUAAAGAGUGUUUUUAGUAUUAUUUGGCAAUUACAUGAAUUGAUUAGGGAGGCAUCGGCCUCUUGAAGUGCGAACAACAUCUAUUUAGACGUCUAAUUUUUUUCAAAUUAACUUGUUUAUCUCAAUUCUUUUUGCUUUUCUUAAAUUCUCAAUACAGACAAUUAGAUUUUCUAAAUAUUACUGAACACAUAUUGUAUUAACAAGGACCUAAGAAAAAUAGAAAGAAUGUACAAUAAAAAGAAUUUUAAAAGGAAAUCUGGGCCUCCCAAAGAAUAUAGUUUGUGCUUUUAGUGGUCAGCAUCUCCUAAAUAUCGUACAUCUCAUAAUAAUUAUGCUAAUAAUACUCAAGACAAUCUUCUAAUGGAUAACAUUUAUGCCUUUAUAUAUACAACUUAGGUUACAAAUUACAGAUCUAAAAAAUAAAAAUAUAAUGUAUAUAUUCUUACAUUAUGCUCCAUAACUCUACCCUAUGAUUAUCGAAAAUAACAUAUUUUACAUAAAAUAAGGUACCAUUACCUUUAUUUGACUAAUUAAAAACAACUACACUAUAAUUAAUAAAAAUAAAUAGUAACGAAAUAUUAUAAGAGAUUGUGUCAUUAGCAAAAGACUAGUCAACUUUGAACAAAUUAAUGCCCUAAAUUAGACUUUUCUCCUACAUAAUAUAGCAAGUUGUAAAAUCGGUAGACUUUUCUCCUACAUAAUAUAGCAAAGUUGUAAAAUCGGCUAUAAAUAUCGAUAUUGCCAAUAAAGUGAACUCAAAAACGAUUGAGGCAAAUUAUAAGACUCAACAUGGAUGUAAAGGAAGUGCUCUUCAUGAACAAAGGAGAUGGCGAAAAUAGCUAUGCUCAAAACUCUCCGUUUACGGUGUGUGCAUUCGUUUGUUUAUUUUGUUUGUUUGUUCUUAAAUAUUCGUAGUUAAAUAACCAUCAGUCUCCAUGUAUAUAUAAAUGCAAUGCAGCAAAGGGUGAUCGAAUUAUCAAAGCCAGUACUCGAGAGUGCAGUUCAAUCUCUCUUCGGAGAAGCAGGUAUCUGGAACAAAGUAUUCAACGUAGCUGAUUUGGGUUGUGCUUCAAAUGCAAGCACGUUUUCGGUGAUGUCUAGUGUCAUCGAAAAUGUACAAAAGAAAUGUGUGGAGUUAAAUGCUCCAAUACCGGAGUUUCAAUUGUACUUGAAUGAUUUGCCGGGUAACGAUUUUAACACACUGUUUAAGGGACUCUCCAGCUUUGCUGAUAGAUAUAAUGAUGCGUCACUGUUUAUGAUGGGGGCUCCUGGUUCUUUCUAUGGCCGGCUUUUCCCAACCAACAGCUUGCAGCUUGUUCAUUCCUCCUAUGGUGUCCAUUGGCUCUCUAAGGUGCAUUUCUCAAUCUUAAAAUGGAAGCUAUGACAAAUCAACUUUACUUCUAAAAUAUUUGCUAAACACUUUAACAACUUAAUUUUGACAACCCGGUUUUGAAUGUUUAUGCUAAGAAUUAAGAUGAUUAUAGAGAAGAAAAUUUGGUUAUUGAGAAAAUGAAUUUACAGAGCGAUUCCGUCGCUACUUGUCAAAAUCUACCAUAAGAGUGAUUUUGAUAAGUUUGAAACAUUCACAAACCACCAAAAGCUUUCUUGAUGUGUAUACCCAGAUAAUCUAAUUACUUGAACAGAAUUUAUAUAUUGGUUCUUGAUUAGCUAAAACUAAUUAUGCAUGGAAUAAAAUGAAAUGAAAGGUACCAAAAUUGACGGAUGAAGCGGGGUUACCGCUAAUUAACAAGGGGAAGAUAUUCAUAUCUAAGACAAGCCCUGUUGCUGUAAAAGAAGCGUACCUUAGACAGUUUGAAGAAGAUUUCAGCUUGUUUUUGAAGUCACGCUCACAAGAGAUGGUGCCCAAUGGCCGUCUUGUCUUGGUUUUCAAUGGACGGCCAUCUGCAGACUUUACAAGAGACUACUGCUAUCCAAUUCCAUGGGAAUCUUUAUCUGAGGCCAUUGCUGCCAUGGUCUCUGAGGUACGCAGUAACUUCCAAUCUUUUCUAAGUUCCCUCAAACUUGAUAGAACACUAACACUUUCAUUUUGACCUUAGUUAAAAUAUUUUAUCACUUAAUUCAUUUCGCUCUUGUUACGUACGUUGUCACAAAGAUACAGUUUAUUAUAUUAUUGUUAUCUUCUAAAUUAUGACGUGCGUGAUACAUAUAUACCUAGUUUUAAUUAUGCGUACAACCCAUUUUGAAUACUCUAGUGUUAAUCAAUGUUUUAAUGUUAGAAACGAAAUGAGAUAUUAAAAUUUAUAAGGAACUCAAGUCGCGGAAAAUUUUCGAUAGAAAUAAAAUUAAAUGCAAUUAAUAUUAAUCUCCUUAAACUUUUUAAUCAGGGCCUUUUCAUAUUGAGUAAUACUCUAUUUAAAAAGUCUAUUGAUGUAGUGGUAUUUUCUUAUGUACGUACGCCUCAUGCCAUUCAUUAUGUAAAAAUGAAAUAAUAAUAAAUAUCCAAUUGAUUCAUGAGGGUUUACAGUUAAUUUUUCACAAUUAUUGGGAAUACAAAUUAUUCGCAAGUGUUUUGAGUUUUCAGAUGAAUCAGGUCAAAUAGUUAACUAGCGUUAAAGAAUCGGUAAAUGAAGAAGGCAGAGUCAAUAAUACUUGUUCUUUUGUUUUUUUGCAACAUGUAGGGACUGAUUCAAGAAGAGAAGUUAGACUCGUUUAAUGUGCCAGUAUAUGCCCCAUCACAGAAGGAGCUCAAAGGUAUAGUGAGCAAAGAGGGAUCGUUUGAACUUGAGCAGCUAGAUACAUUUCCAAUUAGUUUUGGAGACAUUAAAAAUUUAUCGGAUAAGCUUUUCAAGAACAUGAGAUCCGUCACAGAGUCCAUGAUUUCACACCAAUUUGGAGAGGAAAUACUUGACAAGUUGUAUGACAAGUUCAUCCAGAUAUCAAUUGAAGAUAUGGCUACAAAUGAAGAAUACAAGGUCCUCAGCUUCCUUGUCGUGCUAAGGAGAAAUGCAACUGACCAUUGACUAAUAAUAUUACCACAAAAUAAAAAUUAUAGGGUCAGCGCAGUCAUGUCCAAUAAGAAAAUUCUUUCUUUUAUCUUGGUGUGCUGCGGUUUCUCUGUCAAGCCCCCAAGUUGUAUUGUUGAUUUUCUUUCUUUCAAUAAUUAGGAGUUGUUUGUUUUUAUGUCUCAAGUCUUAAUCUGGUUUAAUUUAUUAUGUUUUGAUAUUUCAUCUUGUUUUUUGUAUCUGUGAAGUUUUAUUAUAUGACAUUUUUAUCUGAAUGAAAAAAAAAUUCUAACUUCUAUCUAAAUGAUAGAAUAUUUGAAUGGAAAAAUAAUUUUUUUCCCACAAAUACUCUCAUUAGAUGCAUUUAUUUCCUACUAAUUAUUAGAUGUUGUAUUAGAAUUUUCUUUGAUUGCAAAUUUUACUUAGUAUUAAAUACUUAACAUACAUUCAAUUUGAAUUUUAAACAAAUUCUUUUAUUAUUAGAUAACAAUUUUUUUAUAUAUAAAUAUUACGUUAAAUUAUAAAAAAAUAAUCUUCUCAAAAUUAUUUUUCAUAAAUUAUAUAUCAAAUGCUUACCUUAUAAAUAUUUAUAAGAUAGAAAAAGCUUUGUACUAGAAAAUUUUUUAAAUAUAUAUCUAUUUAAACUUCAAUUAUAUAUAAAACUUUCAAGCAGAGAUAGAAAUGGACUGGCUCGAGCCCAACCCUAUAACUAAAAUAGAGAGAUCUACAUUUAAAAAAGUCUAUCUUUUUUAAUUUGAAUCGGGCUUCAAUAUCGGGCUCGGGCUUUGUUUGAGCUCGAUCAUAAUUUUUUUAAGAUUUGUUUAUUUUGAUAUUUAAAAAAUGUUAAAUUAAAAAAAAGGGCAUACCCUCAACCAAUAUAUUAAAAUUUACAAGAUUUAGAACUUGUUUAAGUCCUUUAAAAAAAAAAAAGAACUUGUUUAAGUGACAUAAGCAUAAAAAUUACUCCACUCAACAUCUUAAACAUAUCAUUAUAUAAAUAAACAUGAUUAAACUAAAUUUACAAUUACAACAUAAUAACUAAUAUUUAUAACCUUAUAUUUUGGUAAAAUAUGAUAUUUACAAUUACAACAUAAUUAAGAAAAAAAUUAGCUCAAUUCUAAAUUAAUUUAUAAGCUUAAAUGAAAAAAUGAAUUAAUAUUUAUAAAUUACCAAGUUUAGUGCUGCAGAUUCACAAGACAGCGGCGGGCUGAGGGCAGUAACUGAUGGAAGUGAUGUGGUGCUUGGCUGUCCCUCAUGCGUGGUUAUCGAUUUUGUGGGAUACUGGCUGGCAGCGGCGUGGUGCCGUGGUGGUGGGUGGCUAGAGCGGUAGGAAGUGGUGACACAAGCCUCUCUCUUGCGCGGCUGUUGACAUGGUAGUGACUCGAACCCUGGUUGGCUGGCGGUGACGCGAGACAACGUGAGUUUGUGCCACCAGCCGCUGUUCUCAGUGAGGUGGAAGAAUGUUGGUGUUGCUUAGGUGGUGUUGGAACAGCCGGCGGCGGCAGUGGCGCUUCUCUUUCUGUCAAAGGUGACAAUGUUAGGGUUCGUUAAUUUGACUUAUGAGUGUGUGAUCUAUAAUGUAUCUGUGUAGUAUGUGUGAGAUGAGAGCGUCACGGUGUGUGAUGCGUGCUUGUGCUGUGUAGUGUCUUUCAAGUUGUUUUUAUUAUUAUUAUUAUUAUUAUGAGAGUUAGGAUUGAGUUGGUUGGGAUUGAGUUGGUUGGGUCCGUUGGGAUUGAGUUGGGUGGGGCUUGAACCCUGACCCAAAUUUGAUCGGCUCUAAUAUUUAAGUCCUAACCCAAUCCUUGACUCUUAAAUUUGGGUCAAAAUUGAAAAUUUUGGGCGGGGUCAAUAGUAGAAAUAGUAAAAUCAUCCACAUGUUUAGAGUUUCAUAGGUCUCAUCACAAAUGCGGUGAAUUUUGAAUAAAUUUUAGGGAAUAAAGUGAGAAUGGGGGAAAAAUAAUUCUCAAAUUCUUAAUGGGGUAGGGUUUAGUUUUGUACCCCCCACUCCACCCCAACCACAAUUCUAAUUAUAUACGAAUAUUUUUUAGUUUUUUGUUCAAUAAUUUUUGUUUUAUCAAUUACAAUGUUGUUACUAAAUUUUCUUUUUAUUUUUACCUAAUAUAAUUGUGUUAUAAAAGAAAACCCUACAUUAUAAUUUUUAUUCAACCCUAAAACAUUAUUAUUUUUUCUUUUCUCUCUUGAAAUGCUACUCUCUUCAAACAUUUUUUUAGUUUUAAUAUCAUUUCAAGAUGUUAUUUCAAUCUUUUGGUGAUUUUUUCAAAUAAUUUAAAUAUUUUAUAAUAUGCUAAUAAUUUUAUUUAAGUCUCUAAUUUUUAACUAUUAUAAAAUAUGUAAAUAUAGAAUUGGGUGAGAAUGGGGAAAUCAUUCUCCCAUGGGAAUUCCCCAUCUUCACUCCACUGAUGUGGUGUUUACUUUCUGGAAUAGGAGUGAGUAAUGUGAAUUCUUUCCACUCCAGUAUUUACUUCAAUUUAAGAGAGGAUUGUGAAUCUCACUCUGUAAACCCCACCCAUUUUUGGAGUAGAGAGUGGAAGUGGGACUCCCAUGGCCACUCCCACCUCUCCCUUUUCUACCAUUUUUUCUUAUUAAAUUUGAUAUUUAAUAAAAUAAAAUAAAUAAUAUUAUAUUUAUUUGAAUAUUAUUAUUGUAUUUAAUUAAAUAAUAAUUUGCAUUGAUUUUAAGUUAAAAUUACUUAAAAAUAAUAUUAUUAUAUUAAUAGAGAAUUAAUAAAUAUUAUUAUAUGCUAUCUUCAUUUGAAAAUAUAAUAUUAUUAUAUUUAUUUAAAAACAAUAGUACUAUAUUUAUUUAAUAUUAAUAAUCAAUAAUAAUAAAUAGUUUAUUCUAAGAAAAUAUUAAUUUUGUACUAAAUAAUAUUAUAUUAUUAUUUUAUAUAAUAAUAAAUUUAAUAUAAUUAUAUUAAAUAAAAUAAAAUAAUGUUUCAUUUUAUAUUUACCCUUAUUUUUUACCCUCCUUUUAUUAAAUUUACUAUAAUUAUAUUUAAUAAAUAUUUAAAUAAUAUUAUAUUUAUUUAAAUAAUAUUAUUAUAUUUAACUAAAUAAUAACUUGGUUUGAUUCUAAGUUUAAAUUACUUAAAAAUAAUAUUAUUAUAUUAAUAGGAAAUUAAUAAAAUUACUAUAUACUAUCUUUAUUUGAAAAUAUAAUAUUAUUAUAUUUAUUUAAAAAUAAUAGUAUUAUAUUUAUUUAAUAUUAAUAAUAAAUAGUUUAUUCUAAGAAAAUAUUAAUUUCGCACUAUGUUAAUAGUAAAAAUGUUUCAUUUAUAUUGCCCUUAUCAAUAAUUUUUAAUUUAUAUAAUUAAAAUUAAAAUUAAUAGAAAAUUGUAAUGUACAUAAUUAAGAAUAUUAAUAAUUAUUAUAAAUUUAUAAAUAUAAUAAAAUAAAUGUUUAUUCAUUAAAUAUAUAUUUUUAUUAACUUUAUAAUUAAAAAUUAUAAUUCUUUAAAUAAGGAUAAAAUUAUAAUUUGAAACUAUUACUCCCAAUCCAAGAUAAAGUAAACACAUAAAUUAAAUUUUAUCUCAAUUUCAUGCUUCCAUUCUAGUGUAAGUAAACAAUAUACUCCCACUCUCACUCCACACUCCCAAUUCUAAGAUUCUCACUCCUCAGAAUUUUCACUCCAAUCUAAAAAAUAAACGUUAUCUAAAUUUAUCGAAGGAUAAGAUGGAGAAUAGGGUAGGCUUCUCCACACCACUAAAAACUAGGUUGGAUUUUUUGUCAUCCCUACCUUCAGGGUCAUAAGUGUAAAAAAAUUAUAUUUAAGAUUUUUUGAGUUUAUUAAAACAAACAACCUACCCCAUACACUCGAUGUCAAAAAAAUAAAAAAUAAAUAUAUUAUUCUGACGUAUGUAUUCAGAUCCAUUUAAACUUCAAUAAUAUUUAGACUUAUUCAAAUAUCAAAUUAAAAAUAAAUGCAAAUUUCUCGCUAAUCCAAGCUCGCCUCAUUCCAAUUUGAAAAGUUAGAAAAAAAAAAAAAAAGAACAAAGAAAAAGGUCUGUAACUUGUUGCUAUUGUUGGCUGCUUGUAUAAUGAAUCGCGAUUCCAGAAAGCAACUGAAUAUAAGAUUGGGUUAGUUAGGUGUCUAGCACAGUUUUCAAAAUCAUAAUAGAUUACCGGACAAAACUACGUUACAGAAUCUGUAAGGUACAGACUGCAGCAUCAGCCGUUGGAUGUGGUUGGAUGUGGAGUGAGAAACUAAACAAAAGAAAAUCGGAUGGUGGGAUGACGGGAAAUGUUUGUUACAGAAUCUGUAACAUAGACAGGUCCUAGAUUACCUAAUACGCGUUUAUUUAUAGCUGUGCAUAUUUUUCUUGAGCUUAUCCAGAGACCCUGUGGACCAAUCCCCUUUUUAAGUCCACAACAAAUUUAUUAUGUUUAAUAUGUCAUGAAAUCAUUUUCUUUUUUGAAUUUUAUAUACAAUAAACGUAUAACUUAAGCUGCUAAGACAUAGACUUAAUUAACUGGUUUUCAAAUAUUUUUUUUAGUUUCAAUUUUUUUUUUUAAUAAAAGAGAGAAUUAAACUUUACCCAAACGUAAUUACCUUUAAAAAAUAAAUAGAACUUAAAAGCGUUAUUGCAUCGUUUUUUUAAGAAAAAUAUUUUCCAAAAUUCAAAAACUAAGUACAAUCUCAAAUAACAAAUCAGUUGAUUAGGAAAUUCUUCCAGUCAAAUAUAAGGUUUAACUAAAUACAUGAUGAGCUAAAACUUUAUAAUAAUUUUAUUUAUUAUGAUGCGCUGCGAAACAAUGUCAUGUAUAUAUUGGUCCCCUAUCUGGGAAAAAAAAAUUGUGAAAAAAACCAUAACAUCUAAAUUUCAAACAUGACUUAAAAAGAGAGAUCAUUAUGCUUGGAUACUUUAAUGUUAUUUAUUUAACUAAUUAACAUUGAAUUAACCAAAAAAAAAAAAAAAAACGAGUCAGCAAUAGAAACUCUAUCUUUCCCAAGGCCCACGCUACCCUAAAAAGAGGAUGAUGCUGAUGCAUGAAAGCAACGGCAGGCACCGAUCCAUCAAUCACAAUUAAACACAUAUAGAACAUACGUAUAGGUAAAAACUAGAAGGAAAUAAUUUAGAUGACCAAUGUAAAAAGAUAACAUAAUAAAAGUAAUAGAACUAGUUUUGUCCAUAUUAUUACCAAGAUGACAUUGCACAAAUCCAUAGCCAUACAAAUGUACAAAGUGACAGCGCCCACCUACUUAACCAUGGGCCCAUCCGUCAUCAUCAUCCACCUCUCUUCAAAAUUAAAAAAAAAAAAAAAAACGUUUUAAGGAAGGAAAACAGAGAAGCAGGCCCAGGUCCAGCACCAGCAGAUUUGAACAAAGGACUAAUUAAUAUUUUAUAAUACACAUAAGCAAACCAGCAACAGCCAUAAACAAAUGCAGGUGCAAUCACGAACGUUGAUGAAGCGAUCAGCUUCAUUUGAAGGGAAUGGCUCUGAUCACGACUUGGUGGUACAAAGCUGCAAGUCCAGCUCCAACGAAUGGUCCCACCCAGAAAAUCCACUGCAUCAAACCAUAGGUAAAGAUUGAUCAUGAUUAAUUGAUUAAUUAUCACAGUUAGAUUCACUUCUACAAGUAUAAAUCUCGAUGAUCAAGAUCUUAUUUUAGGGUAAUCAAAAGAGUAAAUUAAACGUACGUGGUCAUCCCAACCGCGGUCCUUGUUGUAGAUGAUUGCAGCUCCAAGACUCCUCGCUGGGUUGAUGCCAGUUCCGGUAAUUGGGAUGGUAGCCAAGUGAACCAAAAACACAGCGAACCCAAUUGGCAGAGGAGCCAAAAUCUAACCAUGCUCAAUAAGAUAGUGAUUAGUAAAAAUAAUCAAUUAUAGGUUAUUAAUUAUAGAAUUUAUUAGAAACGGAGUUAACUUACAGGAACAUGAGAGUCCCUGGCGCUCCGUUUGGCAUCAGUGGCAGAGAAAACUGUGUAGACAAGAACAAAAGUACCAAUAAUCUCGGCACCAAGACCAUCACCCUUGGUGUAGCCAUGAGCUACGACGUUGGCACCGCCGGCGAGCCGCCCGUAUUGGCCGGCACCCAUGAAACCCUUAACAACGCCAGCACCGCAGAUGGCUCCCAGACACUGCAUCACCAUGUAGAAAAGUGCACGUGUCAGCGACAGCUUCCUCGCCAAGAACAGGCCGAGUGUCACCGCCGGGUUGAUAUGACCACCUGCGUCAAAACAAACAGUUUUAAAAACACUUUAGAUAUUUUGCUUAUAAAAUUAACCAAGCAGAGGCGCAACCGGUACGAACCCGAGAUGCCAGCUGUGCAGUAAACGAGCACGAAGAUCAUGCCACCGAAGGCCCAUGCAAUCCCUUGAAUGCCGACGGUUGAGCACUUGGUGUUGGACUUGACGACGCCCAUCACUGUCAGUACGGAGAUGUACAAGAAAAGAAAAGUGGCUAUGAACUCGGCUAUACCGGCCCUGUAAAACGACCAAGACUUGAGCUCGCCGGGCUCGAAGAGCGGCGCCGGUGGGGGUUCAACGUAGUCCUUGCCAUCUUGGGUCUGAGCCGCCGUCCCAAUCGGCUGCCUCUCGGCGAACUUGUUGGCUCCCAGUCUAACAUCCUCUUCUUUGCCUUCCAUUUCUGCUACUCCCUCAAAAACACAAAAUAGUCAAUAAGAAGCACUUGCUUUUUUGUUUGUGGCCGUUUGAUGUUGUGAUGAGAAUGAGUGACAGAGUACUAGAAGUUGGGGAAAGGGGUUAUAUCAUCCGGAUCAGGGAGUGAUGAGUGCAGGUGGUGGGCUCCAAUUUGGUGUAUAAAAUUGAAUUUACUUACUUAUCUUGUGACCGACCAAUCAUUUUCUUGGAAUUUUGUGGAAAUAACUUAAAUGCGCUUAGACUAUUUAGAAAGAAAAAUGACAUUACGUUGGGGUAUCCUAGCUGGCUCAAUUUCAUCCACAUCUGUAAUGAUGUUGUGGCCACCGUCCAUCAAGGGUCAAGCAGACCGAGUGGGUGGGAAUUGGGACAUGAUGAUCACGGGAUUUAUCACGUAAUUUCAUAGCUCUUUUUAGGGCAAAUUACAGAACCCAAAGCAAGUAGGUUAUUUAAUUUUGAGUAAUGAUAUAAUCAUAAAUUUUUAUAUAAAUUUAUUUUAUAUAAAUUGAUGUGGUAUUAAUUUAUUAAUUGAAUAAAAAUAUAAAAUAAUAAAAAUAAAUCAUAUAGGUCAAGUAAUAUUUAAUUCAACCAAUCUUAUCAUACCACAUUAAUUUAUAUAAAAUAAAUUUAUACAAAAAAUUUUACCUAUAUCAUUACUCUUUAAUUUUAAUUUCGUUUUAUACUCUUAAAGUCUUUCUCAUUAUCAAUCAGCUUUAUUGUCAGUUUCUUAAUGUGAAUUAUGUCGGUUGCUCUGGCCUAUUGUCCUUUCCGUGUGUCCAUUUCGCUCUAAGGAAUUGGUUCACAGGCACGACUGUAACUUUCGAAUUGAUGCCUCCAUGAAUUAGUCCGUUCCUAUUUGAAUGGCUUUAUUUAUUUUAACCGUCGUAGUUUCAAAAUAUUUAUUUAGAAGUAAAAGGCUCGGUUUAGGGUAGGCAAAACCCCGGGUUGGGUUUGGGUAUCACAAUACUCAGACCUAGUCUGGAUGCAAUUUUUAGAUGUUCGGAUCGAGUUUUAAUCCGAAUACUUAAAUUUUAUAUUUUUUAAUAUUAUAUGUGUAUAUUUUUUAGUAAUUUUAUAAGUUUUAAAUUUAUUUCGAUAAAAUUUGACAUAAAAUUAUAAACUUUAAAUGUUUAAAACUUUAUAUAUGUGUAAUAAAUGAGUCAAAUAAAUUUAAAUAUUUAAAAUAAUAUAUAUUUUAUAAUUUUUUAAAAUAAAAUUCAGGUUCCGAGCCGAGCUCCGGAUUUAUCAAGUGAUACCCAAGAUUGAUCCGGCUUCAUACUCAUGCUGGGUAAUACCAUGCCCACAACGCUUGGGUGCGAUUCGGGUCUAGACCGGGCUGGUAUUUUUGCCACCCCUAGCUUGGUUGGAAUUGAAAUUAGACAAUUAUAGUUUCAAAGUAUAAUACUAAAAUAUUUUUUAUAUAUUAAUUAUUGUAACUUAGAAGUUAAGUUAAUUUGAGUUUACACUUAUAUGAUGAAAAAAUCUAUUAUAUUUUUAUUAAUUUUAUCAAAAUUAUUGUUUAAAAUUUGUGUUUACUAUGUACUAUUAAUUUUUAUUUCAUAUUUACUAUAUAAUAUUAAUUUAUGAUAUUUAGAGCCAAUCUAACUGCACAGUCACAAAAUUGAUUAGAAAGCUCUAGUAGACCCUUUAUUCUAAAUAUUAGGGGACUAUAACAUUAUUAAAAAAUUACAGCCCUAGUUGAUCGAAGUUAUGAUAUAACAUCGAGAAGUCAUCAAUAAAGUUCUGUUUGGGAUUAAGGUGCUGUAAUUUUUAAGUUACAGCUGUUAUGGAAAAAACUGUAAUUAUGAAACAAAAAUUGAUAAUAUGUAGUAAAUAUAAAUUUUAAAUAAUAAUUUUGAUAAAAUUAUUAAAGAUAUAAUAGAUCUUCCAUCAUACAAUUGAAAAUUCAUAUCAACAUAACUUUCAAGUUACAGUAGUCAGUGUUUACCAAAUACUUUAGUGCUGUAGAUUUUAAGUUACAAUUACCCAAUUUCAAUCCCAAAUAGACCCUAAGACAUAUAGAUAAAUUUUUAACAAUCGAACUCAGAAAACUAUAAAAUGUACUUAAGUACAUUUUUUUUUUACAACUUGCAUAACUAGCUCUCCCCCGGAUAAUGUUUAGGAACAGAAUAAUGUGUUGCUUUGUAUUUAUAUUUUUAACGCAUGAACGUCUACAUUAGAAUUUAGAAACCUAUUUAUGUUAUAAAGAUAACAUCGUCGUAAUCGAUAAUUUUACUCUUCCUGAAAAUGCACUAGGUUAUAAAAAUAAAUUGAUACAACAAUUAACUUAAUUUUUGAGUAUUACUUACGAAAAGAAAAAGUUCAAGAGUUGGAAGCGACUUAAAAAUGAAUUUAGAUCAAUUACUACAGUGAAAAUAGUAUUCUUUUUUUUGGGUGGCGUUUAUGCACAUAAUUUGAAUUAUAAUUUUUCUAAUUAAUGUUAUUCCUACAUGGAUUAGAAUCCUCUCAUGAUAUGAGUUUUUCUAAUAUUUUAUACCACUUGUAGUUUGGUGCUAAUGUAUGAUUAUGAUUUAAUUAUUUUUACUUUUUUAUUUAUUAACCGUAAUAAAAUUUAUUUAUGAAAAUAUUAUAUUAAGGGAGGAUCAUAAUCCUUCCUGCAUGAGGCAGCUGUAGCGAAUGAUUAUCUCUUAAUAAGUGCAAAAUCAUAGAGAAAUUUUACGCUGGCAGGUAUCUAUAUAUCUAUAUAAAGUUGAGACUUGAGGAGGUGAUGUGGCAUCACCAUUUCUCUUCUUUGUAUAUUCUCUAUUAUCUAAUAAAUAGAGAAUUUUUCUUUUAAAUUUGGCUUUUUAUCUUCUCAUAAUUAAUUUGAUUGUUAUUAUACAAUAACAAUUAUAUAAAGAUUUUAAUGAGGCAUAUUCUUUGUAAUGAAUAUCAAAGAGGGAGUGUUAUGAAUUUAUUAAAAUUAAUGUAAAUGUUCAUAACAUAUAUCUCUUAGUCUCUCCACUAUCUCCCAUUAGCAACCUUUAGCUUCCCUAUAACUCCCAUUAUUUCACAAGAAAUUAUGAUCCAUAAUUUUUUAUUAAUUUCAUGGAGUGAUUAUGUAACUAUAAAAUGAGAGCUCAUCUUUUUGUUUUGUACACACACAAUUAGAAUGAAUAAAACCACUCUAUAAUAUAUUCUCUCAUUUUAUUAUUUAUCUUGCGUUGCUUCUUUAUUUGUAUUGCUAGCUAAUAACUUUUUUUUUAUUUUUUAUAAAGCUGCCUCAUCCUAAAAAAAAAAUCAAUUCAUAUUUUUUAUCAGUUUCACAAGUGUAAAGUAAGAAAAAAUGAUAAUACUAAAUUUUUUUUUCAAAGCCGCGUGAAACGCGAGGUUAUUUUCUAGUUUUUAUAUAUUACACAGGACGGUAGUUAAUGGCGAAUUCAUGGAAAUUAAUUAUGCCAAUCAUGUCAACUAACAUGUUUCUUAUAGCGUAUUAUUGUUGUAGUGAUUUGUCUGGAUAUUAUUGAAUAAUCUUCAUGAUAUUUGCAAUCAAUAGUUGGGUUUGUGCUUUAAUUAGCUUCGUCAUUUCUUUCUGGCAAAGAAAGGUUAAAUGCAUCUUAUUAAUUAUAUUUGUAAUCUAUUUGGAGGGUAUGUUUUAUGGACUUUAAUAUUUGAGCGAAUUUAAGCUCAAUAAUAUUCAAGCUGCAUGCCCCUAUAUAGAAAACGAUAUGAGUCACUUCACAUAAAUAUAUGAAACAACAUGAAAACUAUAGACAACAAAGAAAUGACUGUACCUUUUUUAUUGAAUAAAAAAAUGCUCCAUCAUAUGAGUUAAAAAAAAUUAAAAAUGCACUAAAAUGACAUUACUUUUUUAUUUCAGUAAAUUAUAAAAUUGAGAAAUUUAUAAAGUAGCCUAUCUAUGAAAUUGCCUCCAAACAGAGCAGGUUAUUAUUGACACUAUUUUUUAUGUUAAAUUUUACUCUCAUAAUUAUAAAACACUCAAAACCUCGACCUUUCAGAUAAUAAGAGUUGGCAUGAACCAAAUCAACUAAAGAGUUAUUAACAUACUUGAUACUAUAAAUCUACUAUAAAUCUAAUUUUCUACUCUCAUAAUUUCUAUUCUUUUCAUUCUUAUCCAUUUAAAGAAUGAAAUACUAUAGAUUAUUUUUUUAAUAGUAAAAAAAUUUAAUUAGUCAAUAGUAAAUUUUAUCCUAAAUUAUGUGGAUUUAUUCACUGAUUGGUAAGAUAAUUUAAUUAAUUCACUUAGAAUUUAUUAAAAAUCAUCAACCACUUAAUAAAUGAUACAUCACGUGUCAUAUAAUUUGGGAUAACAUUUUGGGAUGUCAUCAGAUAAAACUCUUGAAGUUUGGCUUCAUUAUUUGCAUAUAUAUUUUUUAUAUAAUAAACCAGUGAUUCUCUCGUAUAGUUGUACAAAUGUCUAUCCUUUAUUAAAAAAAAAAAGUUAAAAGCAAACAAUGUAUCAUUCUUUAGUUAUGCAAUGUUGUUUUUAACCAUACAGAGCAAAACAUCCGUGCAUGUUUAGCGAUGCACGAUUAAAAGUUGAUUAAUUUUUUUUCUUAUAUAAUAACUACUAAUUGUAUUUUAAAAAAAAUUAUUAAAAAAAUCAGCUUAGUACUGAAUCUAAAUUUACGUAUUAAAUCCCCCCAUAUUUAAAAUUUUCGUAUAAUCGACAAUGCUAAUUAAAUUAAAUCUAUUCCAUUUCCUUUGUAAGUCAUUUUCUUUUGGAUUGACCAUAAACUUCAAUAUUACAUCAUAGCAUCAUAACCAUUUUUUUUUAAUUUGAAAAUUUAUGUACAUAUAUACCAAUUCUCCAAACGACAUUCAUUUAUAACCAAAACGCAAAAAAAUACCAGCACGCAAACUUCAUACGAUAGCGAGCAUAUAUAUGGUGUUCCAUAAUACAUAAUGAUUAUGCUUCUAACAACGCCUCUUCAACUAAGGCAAAUUCUUUUUGGUUGGCUAGUAUUCAAAAAAUUUGAUAAGAUCCAUUAAUUAAUUAUAUAUUAUAUGUUUGUAAUAUACAGUUUUAUCCGCAUAUAUAUAUUUAGAGUGUGUGGAUCUACUAUUGUAGUAUUGUGUAUCAUUAUUGUACUGUUUAUUGUUUAAUGAAAUUACUUUGCUUUUUAAGAAAAAAUAAACUACGUAAAUUUAAAUAAAACCACUGCCUAUUACUUGUAUGAUUAUGUGUUCAGACUCCAGAUGCAUAAAAUAGGAAGCUUGGAAUUGCAGCCGCAGCUUUUCUUCUUUUUUUUUUAAAUUACAAAUGCUGGUACUACCGGUGCCAACUUUGGCCAGUAUCAGCGGCUUCUUUGUGCAUAGGCAUUACAGAAAAUUCAUACACAAGACCAAACAACCAGAAAAUUUAACGAACCGAAAAUGCAUGGACUUGGGAUAAUCGAAAAUAUAAAACAGAACCACCAACGACAGCCAUAAACAAAUGCAUCAGCAAUCACGACCGUUCAUAAGACCAUCAGCUUGAUUUGAAGGGAAUGGCUCUGAUCACAACCUGGUGGUACAAAGCUGCAAGUGCUGCUCCAAUGAAUGGUCCCACCCAGAAAAUCCACUGCAUCAAAACCAUAUAUAAGAUUGAUCAUGAUUAACUGAUUAAUUACCAUAAUUGAAUUUACGUCCACAAGAGUAAUCUUUAUGACCGAGAUCUUAUUUUAGGGUAAUCAAGAGAGUAAAUUAAACUUACAUGGUCAUCCCAACCGUGGUCCUUGUUGUAGAUGAUUGCAGCUCCAAGACUCCUUGCGGGGUUGAUGCCAGUUCCGGUAAUAGGGAUAGUAGCCAAGUGAACCAAGAACACAGCGAACCCAAUUGGCAAAGGAGCCAAAAUCUAACCAUAUUCAAUAAGGUAGUUAUUAUUAAAGGUAAUAAUUAUGAUUAUUAUUGGUAAUUAAUUAUACAUUAACCAGAAAAAGAAUUAACUUACAGGAACAUGAGAGUCUCUGGCGCUACGUUUGGCAUCAGUGGCAGAGAAAACUGUGUAGACAAGAACAAAAGUACCAAUAAUCUCAGCACCAAGACCAUCACCCUUGGUGUAGCCAUGAGCUACAGCAUUGGCACCGCCGCCGAGCCGCCCGUAUUGGCCGGCACCCAUGAAACCCUUUACAACGCCAGCACCACAGAUGGCUCCCAGACACUGCAUGACCAUGUAGAAAAGUGCACGUGUCAACGACAGCUUCCUCGCCAAGAACAGCCCGAAUGUCACCGCCGGGUUGAUAUGACCACCUGCGUCACAACAAACAGUUUAAAAAAUAAAAAAUUAUUUUGUCAAACCCUUUAGUUAUUUUGCUUAUAAGAUUAAUUAACCAGAAGCGCAGCUGGUACAAACCCGAGAUGCCAGCUGUGCAGUAAACGAGCGCGAAGAUCAUGCCACCGAAGGCCCAUGCAAUCCCUUGAAUGCCGACGGUUGAGCACUUGGUGUUGGACUUGACGACGCCCAUCACUGUCAAUACGGAGAUGUACAAGAAAAGAAAAGUGGCUAUGAACUCGGCUAUACCGGCCCUGUAAAACGACCAAGACGUGAGCUCUUCUUCCUCGAAGAGUGGUGCCGGCGGCGGCUCAACGUAGUCCUUGCCAUCUUGGCUCUGAGCUGCUGUUCCAAUCGGUUGCCUCUCAGUGAACUUAUUGGCUCCUAAUCUAACGUCCUCUUCUUUGCCCUCCAUUUUCGCUCGCUCUUCUUCACUUAAUUAGCUAAAAGACACAAAAGAUUUGAGUCGUUUGCGUGUAGCUGUUUGAUCUUGCUACGGGAGUGAGGGUAAUCGUUGAUGUUGGGGCUUUAUAUAAUAUUAUCAAGAUGAAAGAGUGAUCAGAGUGGGGUGGUUGGGCAGUGGAGAGUAUAAAAUUGUGUUUAAGGAAAUUAUCACUUACCUACCGAAUAUUUGGUGAAAAUUCAAGGACGUACAAUAUAUAUGUUUUGAAAGGUAUUCUAGAGAUACCUCUUAUGGUAAUAUAUAAUAUGUUUGGAAAUUUUAAAUAUAUACUUGUUUACUGAUAACGCCUAAGGAAGCUACCUUAAUUAAUUUACUAAAUUGAUAGUGCCUAUUUUUUUUAAACCACCUUAAUUAAGGAUUAAACUUCUCAUUAUUGUACUGAUAACUAAAAAUUAUCUAUUUGAACUUUUAAAAAAAUUUGGGGUCCCUCUAUUGUACUUUAUAAGAUCUAUAGUAACUCUUUUAAUUUUCACCAAAAGCUGAGGUUUUGGUGAUAAUUUUACUUAAAUUUAUUUGUUUAUCUUGUGACCGACCAAUCAUUUUCUUAGUGUUUUUGCGAUUUUAUUACAAGGACUAAUAAGCCUUGGUAAUUUAUUUAUCUUUUUUCUUUUUUUUUUUAAUGAAAGGCGUAAAGGACGUUAGGCGUGGGGUAUAGUAUACUAGUCGGCUCAACCUCAACCACAUAAGUGAAUGAUGUAGUGGCCACCGUCCAUCAAGACUCCAGCAGACCAAGUGAUUAUAAAAAUGUGAUGAUUUGUUUUCUUUUUUUUUUUUUUGGUAAUUUUAUUGCACUUGCAGGGGUAAAUUAUAGAGUAUUUUUUUAAAAAAAAAACUUCAAUUCGUUGCUCUCUAAUCUCUAUAUUUCAUUUUCUCUAUGCGAAUUAAGUGAGACCAGAUUAAUGUAAUUAUCUCUUAAUUAAGUACAAACUCAUACAGAAAUAUCACGCUGGUAGAUACCUUAUUUUUAAACUUCUAUUAAGCUGAUGAUUGAAGGGGCAUUCGUGGAAUUUAAUUAUAUCGAUCGUGUCAACUAACAUGUUCUCGUAGGUUAUAAUAAUUGCAGUGACUUGUCUGGAUAACAUUAAAUAAUCUGAAUGAAUAUUAAUUUUGUGCUUUGGCCUCAUCUUCAUCAUCUCUUUCUGGCAAAGUACUUUUGGUUGAAGGCAUCUUAUUAUAUUAGAAAAAUAAUUGGAGGCAAUCGCUUGUGCGCACCUUAAUAAUUUUUAGGAAAAUCAAACUCAAUAUUCGAGCUCCAUGUCUCUAUUAAGAAGUAGAAAAAUGACAAUGACAUAGAUAAGCAUCCAAUUAAAUAAUAACCCUAAAGUCUUUCUCUUCUCUCUUGCGUGGUGGCCUUUACACUUUGCGAAAUGCUAAUUAAAGGAAUACAACAUUAUUACAGUAAAAUAAUACAAAAUAUUAUUAUUUUUUAAUUACAUGAAACUAUUGCUCAUAUGAUAUUAUAAUUGAUAAUUACAAUCACAUAAUAACUGAAAUUAAUUUACGUCAAUUUUUGUAUAGCAUAACAUAGAUUUUAACAAUUUCUAAUAUUUGAGAGACUUCAAUCUUUACUCAAGAGACGAGAUAAGAAAUUUAAAUUAAACCCUCACAAUAUUUAUGUGAGGGGUUCGAAGCACUUCCUCAACACUUGUGAGAGAGUGGUUCUAAACACUAGACUAAGGCCCAAUGAUUUACAAAAUAUUGUUAUUUCGCGCCAAAACUGAAUAAUUUAAUCAUUGAUAAGCAUCAAUCCGCAAAUUGUAAUCUCAUUCAAUCACUUAAAUUAUAUAUCUUUUAAUUUCUCUCUUCUACUGGGUUGACAUAAAACGUCAAUAUUAUAUCUAAUUUUACAUCUUUAUCAACUUCAAUACUAAUUACGUCAAAUUAUACAUUUGUUUAGUCAAAAAUUUGUGUGCAUAGCAUUCGUCCGAAGGACGGCCACGGUCCAUUCAUGACCAAAACGCAAAUAAAAGAUAACGCACAAACUCCACAUGAUAGUGAGACCAUAGUGUUAAAAUAAACAAAAUGAUUAUGCUUCCAACACCGCCUCUUGAAUUAAGGCCAGUGCUUUUUUGCUGGUCUGGCAGUAUCCUCUGUCCUUAUAAAACGUAUGUUUGAUGACCUAAUUUUCAUCUUUCGUUUUUCUGCAUUUAAAAACGUAAAUAACCCUACUAUGUACAUAUACACGCAUACACAAUUUGAACUACCAACGUUAUGAUUGAACAUAUAAUAAUAUGCCGUUUUCGAGCUCAAAUUAUUUUAACAUCCGUAAUAAAAACUUUCGAUUUUAAUUUUUUUUUUUUAAUUUUUGUUUGCCUUAUUUAGAUUUCUAGUAUCUUUUUAAAGAAUAAAAUUACUUCCACACAAUAGGGUGUUACAGGAUUGUUUAAUUUUUAUAUGAAGUCUGAAUCUUAAUUAUUUUCAUAAAUUUACAGUUUUUAUUCUUUUUUUUUUAUCACCUAUAUCUGAUUAUAAGAUAUUUAGAUUUGAAUAAAACAAAAAAGUUAAGUAUUCUAACUUUUAUCUUAAUGGUAAAAUAUAUGAAUGAAACUUUAAUAUUCUCUUUCAUUAAUACCUCUAUUAAAUAAAUUUAUUUCCUAUUAUAUAAAUUAUCCUGUUAUUUUUUUAUUUAUCCUUUUUUUGUUUUAUAAGUAUAUUCAACUAUUAUUAUUAUUAUUAUUAUUAUUAUUAUUUUGUGAAUAAGAAUUUUAAACAUAAUAGAACUUUAGGUAAAUAUAUUAAUUUUAAUUCAAAUGAUUAAAUAAUUAUUGAUUGACUUAUGUAAUUAACAAGAAAAAAUAUCAAUAUAAUAUACUAAAAAUAACAUUAUGAGUAUCAUAUAUUGAUAUAAAAAAAUACGUGUGUUAGACUUUUUUUUUCAUUCUUUGUUAAGGUAAAUAUUAUCAAUUUUUUUUUACUAAUCAAAUAAUUUAUUUAUAACUUGUCAUGUGUUUGAUCAAUAAAUGUAAUUAUUGUUAAUAUUUAUGAGGUUAUAUAUGUCAUAAUAUCAUAUUUCAAAAUUUUCUUUUUGAAAAAAAAAUUACUUAAUAUUUAUAUUCAGAUAUUAAAAAAAAAAAAUAUAUAUAUAUAUAUAUAUAUAAUUCAGACCCAUUUAAACAUCAACUAAAGUCAAACUUUUUCAUAACAAAAGGUUGCAGAAAACUUUGGGAAGUAAUUUAAAUUAGGCAGCUGUCCUAUUCGACUGACUCAUGUCUCCAAAAUCCAAGUGUAUGGAUGGGAAGAGCUGCAGCCGCAAUGAUGUAAUUACAAGCGGGGACCUUGCUACGUUACAGACUCUGUAUGUAACGCAGCAAAUGAGGAGCAUCCACGCGUUGCAGGAGAGAGGAAAAAUUGUUGGAAUUUAGCUGAUACAAGACUAAUUUCCAUUGAGCUGUUACAUACAGAAUCUGUAAGGUAGUUUUGUCCUACAAGCGGUAGUGCUACUAACUUUCGCCGUCCAGCCAAAAAUAUAUAUAUAUAUAUAUGAUUCUUCUCAUGACGUUGCCAUGCCAAUUGAAAUGAUUGAAAGUUUUUUCUAGCACGUUGAAUUGAAUAACGAAUGAAAUGAAUACGAUUAUGAAGUUGAAUUUUGUCGAUACUUUCAAUUGGAUGGGCCGCUAAGCUCACUACUAAGUCAGCCCAUGUCUUGAACUCAUGUUUACCAGGCCUAACUCUCAGACCGGCCCUAAUAUUCACUUGUAUUUGAAGCCCCUUCAGGACUUUAGCCAUUGGUGCGUCCAAAACUCCAAAUUCAGGGUGAAAUUUAGCUUAUUUAAGCUAAAUUUAUUAUAUUUAUUUUUAAAUAUUUUCUUUUAGAACGACAUUUUAUUAAGAUUUUUUUUUUAUAUUAAUCACGAGGUAUCCUGGGGAGGGCCCCAACUGUGGGAGGCACCUUUAAGCCCGUACCACAACCCAGACUAGAAGUCCCCGCUCGAACCGGGAGGCAUAGGUUCUCCCAACAAAUGCGACUUCCCUGCGACUCGAACUGGGGAGCAAACCCAGUCAAGCCACUUAAGGGGACUCCAUUGCCAGUGGAGCCAACACUUUGUUGGUGACAUUUUAUUAAGAUAAUCAUUACAACUCUAUCUGAAUUAGCACAAUCAUACAUUAAAUAUAUGUAUUACUUUUCACUCGUUAUUAAAAUCAAUCAAUGCUUAAUAUGGUUGAAGUGAUGUCAAUCAACAUCAUAAUUAGAUGGAGCCACAUAAAAAAUAUCAUGUAAAUUCCGUAAUAUAAUUAAUUUAGGACGAGAUAUAUUAAUUAAUUACGAAAUACAGACAUUACUUGGCAUCCGGAAACGAUGACACCCAUGCAGAUUUGAGUAUCCAACCGAACCCUCAACCCAGGACUUGGUUCUGUUCUUUAAAAGUCCAACACACAAUAGGGACAUUCCUCUUUUGUUUGAAUCAACAAAACGCGCAAAAAGAAAUACCUCCAUGUUUCUCUACCAACUGGGUCCCACACUGGGAAAAAUCAGCUCCUUUAACCGCCGUUAAUCUCACAAAAUUCAACCUAAUCCGACGGCUGAUACGACCUUUUCUAAUAUCUGCUUUGUUUCACUUUCGCACGCUGUUGUUUUUCCCAAUCAACGGAAGAUCUGAUCUGCGAGAAACAAAGGUCUGUGCAGACGGACACACAAAGAGAAACAGAGCCGCGAAAUUGGCUGAAGUCAACCAAUCCCAUCACGACACGUGCCCCGCACUCCCCAACUUUCUUAUGGACGUACCCGCACUUCAAUUUUCACACUCGCUACCGCGCUGCACCUUAACCGCACCGUAACAACUCCCUCUCUCCUCCCGACGACGACGAGAAGGUUUGCAGAAAAAGUAGUAACAUCAUUUAUGCGGUGACGGAUUUCGGGACUCGGCUCGGCUUCGACGAGUCGAUUGAGUUUAAAAACAAAUAAAAUUUGAAAAAAAAAAAAUAAGGAAGAAGAAGAAGAAGCAGUUGAUGGUGAUGAGAGGUAGCUUGCUGUUUAAUAAUAACCGUCGAACGGCACAAAGGUUCAGGCAACUGGCGAUCUCAGCCGUCGGAUCGUCUAAGAUCAAGCUCUUACUCUGUUUUUGCAUCGCGUUCACGGUGUUCCUACUCCUGAGCCGCGGCUCCACCUUAACGGAAUGGACCGACUCGGGUCCACUGGACCGCUCAUCUUCUCCAGGGUUCGUACAGUUUCUUGUUCGCUUAUCCUUUUUUAGUGCCCACAUCACACGGAGCUCUGUGCUGACUUUUAGUUAACAAAUUAGGAAAGUUUCUAUCUUUGCAAUUAAAUCGUUGUAAAGUUUCUACUUUUUCUUGUUAUUUGAGCUCAAAUACGGGGAAUUUAUUAGAAUGCAGUUUCCCACAGGUAGUUAAUAAUUAGUACCUUGUGACAUAAUAAACUUUAAUUAACUGCUAAUUAAUUAAAGUUGAUGACUGGGGAUCUAGUUGUUGCAAAUACUGCCCUUUAAGAGUUUAAACUAAAUACAAGAUUUGAAUUUGUAAUUAUUUGUAGAAUUAUAGGUUACUGGAAUUGAGGUGUUUGUGUUUUCAAAGAUAGGUAGAAGCACAACAGUUGUAAACAUACUCCUAGUGGGGCUUUUUUUUUUUUAAUACUGUGAUUUUUGUAGUUGUUAGUCGUAUUGAAGUAUAUUAGAGAUAUGUUUUAAUGUUAGAGUUGGUAUUUGUUAAUAGGAAAGGAUAUGCUAUUUUGAUGAACACUUGGAAGAGAUAUGAUCUACUAAAGCAGUCUAUUGCCCACUAUGCUAAGUGUCCUGGGCUUGAUUCUAUACACUUAGUGUGGAGUGAGCCUGAUCCUCCUUCAGAUUCUCUUCAAAUAUUUUUGCAACGCAUAAUACGGAAGAACUCUAGAAAUGGGCGACAAGUUGAACUGAAAUUCGAUAUCAAUACUGAGGACAGUUUGAACAAUAGAUUUAAAGAGAUUAAGGAUUUGAAGGCGGAUGCUGUUUUCUCAAUUGAUGAUGAUAUCAUAUUUCCUUGCCAUUCGGUAAAGUUUGCUUUUGAUGUUUGGCGAAGUGCACCGGAUCAAAUGGUGGGCUUUGUCCCCCGAAAGGUUUGCGUUGAAUCGGUAUGUUUUAACUUAAUUGCAUUUGCAUUUGCUGCAAUUUCAAGAUUUGACGGUUCUUUAACAUUUGGAGCCAGUAGUGUUUAAGCUCUUGUUCAUAUUCUCUUAGUGCUUAUCCAUUAGUGAGUUUAGAUGUCUGGAAAUUUUGAAGAAGCAUUAUGGGUUGAGAGACAUGCCUCUGUAUGUAAACUGUGAUGGCCUUAAGCUGCAUAUUCUUGUUCAUUGUCCUGUUUGUAGAAGGAAGGGACAUUUGCCUAAUUGUUGAAAAAACUUUGUACUGUGAGCAACAUGCUCUGUAUGUAAAUUGUGAUGGCCGUAAGCUUCAUAUUCUUGUUGAUUGUCCUGUGUGUAGAAGGAACAUUUGCCUAAUUGUUGGAAAAACUUUGUACUGUGAGCAACAUGCCUCUGUAUGUAAAUUGUGAUGGCCGUAAGCUUCAUAUUCUUGUUCAUUGUCCUCUGUGUGCAAGGAACAUUUGCCUAAUUGUUGAAAGAACUUUGUACUGUGAGCAACAUGCCUCUGCAUGUAAAUCAUGAUACCUUUGAGCUUCAUAUUCUCAUUAUUCAUUUCAAGUCUCUUUGAUAUGACACUGUGCAUGCAUGUGCAUCGUCUUUGGAUAUUGUUGUAUGGUCAACCGAGUUUUUAAACAUUAACAGGAGAGUGCGGAGAUUGGAAAAAUUAUACUAAAUACAAAAGCUUUUGUUAGUAUCUAUGUUUUGGUCGGAAAACCGCAUGAACUGCUUUCACUUAUGAGUUUGUUAAUCUCUAUGCAGAAAGAAGGUAAGGAUUAUUAUUCAUAUUGUGGGUGGUGGUCUGUUUGGUGGACUGGAACAUACAAUAUGGUGCUCUCGAAAGCUUCCUUUUUCCACAAAAAGUAUCUGCGUCUAUAUACAAAUGAGAUGCCAACAUCGAUUAAAGAAUUUGUUACCGAGAACAGGUUCUUCUUCCACUGGCUUAAUCCAUUACUUGGCAUUUUGAUUCAAUGUCUUUGUCUUUCGUUUAUGUGUUUAAUUGCUCCACUGGCUGUUUGAUGGUUCAUCAGGAACUGCGAAGAUAUUGCGAUGUCAUUUCUUGUUGCCAAUGUGACUGAUGCUCCCCCCAUAUGGGUGAAAGGUAAUUAUAUAAUAGUUUAUAAAUAUCUUUCUCAUUCUUUCCUAAUCAAAUCGGUGCUCUCAUUUUUGUUAUUAUUAUUUCCCUGGAUUUUUGAAUUCUGUCCUUGUGUUUUUCUACUCGAUUCUAUUGACUUUCUGCAUGCAGAGAAAUGUGAUCAGAAACUUGCUUGACAAAAACUUUAUUAAAUCAGAUCAUUGUCAAGGGAAAAAGAAUAUUGUUGCAUUGCUUCUAAAGAUUCAUAAAACAAAUCCUUAAAGGCAUGAAAAGGCACUAAGGUUUGAGUGAGGUGACAAAAUUGCUUGUAGAAAAGAGUAUUAGAUGAAUGUUGUUGUUAAACCAUAUCUUAUAUUAUGCAUCGAACACCUCCGUUAUUUUCUUUCUUGAGCUGAAACAUCCAAACCUUUGAGACAGUUUUGAUGCUGCUCAGUUUAUGGCAGCUUCUACUUGAAUCUGCACAGGUUUUCUGAUCCACCCUCUCUCUUUACAUCCAUUGGAAUAGAGUUGCAUUUAAAUGCUAGUUGGUGAUUUUCAACUUUGGAUGGAUAUUAGUGCAACCCAAGAAUGAACUGCAUUAUUUUUGUGAAAUGCUUCUAUCCGUAUCCUGUUUCCGUUAUUAUUUUUACACAUUGGAUGAUUUUUUAGAUGAGUAUUGUCUGUUUUAAACAUUGGCAUUGCCCGUGUAGGUAAAAUAUAUGAGAUUGGUUCAACUGGAAUUAGUACCCUGGGAGGCCAUUCCGAAAAAAGAACCCAGUGUCUAAACAGAUUUGCAGCUGAGUUUGGUCGGAUGCCCUUAGUACCAACUUCAAUGAAAGCUGUUGAUAGUCGCCGCAUGUGGUUUUGGUGAUGAUGUAGUUUCACUUUCUUUUACAAAACGCUAAACUUCCACUUAAAUCAGUUGAGUCAUUUUGUUUUUUUUUUUUUUUUUGGCCCUCUGGCUUUAGAGUUGUAUAAAUUGGUUUGUUUCCCUAAUUUUUGUAUUUUGAAGAUAGGGGCAAAUUCUUUUACAUGUUCUUGGAACGUUACUUGUAUUAAUGUCACCAUGUAACCAAUCUUUUAUAAUACGAGAUUUCAGUUUACUUUUUUGAAAACGUAGCAGUUGGAUUGUAAUAAGCAAAUUACAGCGACGAAUUACAGUCAAAGCUCUUAUCAAUUUAUUAUAAGUGGUUUUUAAGCCUAGCUUUGCAAUUUCCAUACUCAUUUUCUCUUAAUUAUAAGAGAUUCUAUGAAUAUGUGCAUGAAUGUGUUGUCUGAUUAUCAAAAUUAUAACUAUACGGAUCCUUGAUCUCUUAUUAUUUGUUGCCAAAAUUAUCUUGAUUGCAGGAAAAAACCAGAAAUUUAUGGGGUUCAUUAUUAGCCUCCUCCAAGCAAAACUAAAGAGAAUGAGCUCUAAGAAAAGCUCACUUUCGGAGCAAGAUUUAUUCGUUUGCAUAUGUAAAAUAACUAUGGCAUCUCAUCAACAGUUUUUUACAAGCUGAAUACACCAAACAAAAAAACCAAGAACUCAACUUUCCUGGUGAUUGAUGAUAAUAUUUAUACUAAAAUGAUGGUAAUAUCCUAAGCUUCGAUUAUUUCUCAACCCUCUUUGAUCAAACAAUAUGAUUAUAGUCGUCCUGGGAGCUGCUGAGAGGAAAACAGGUCUCUUCGCCACCGGUAUUCCAGAGGAAACUUGCAUAUUUGGAAGCAUAAGAAGAGCUAUUUGGCUCUGCUGCCAUUGCUUGCUGGUAUGUCUCCUCUGCUGCCCAUAGAUCCUUCCUUACUAGCCAUAAGAAGUCUGCAUAUUGACUCAACGCCUCAGCAUCUGGUGGAUCUGAUUGUAUUGCUCGCUUGAAGCAUUCUUCUGCCCUGCAAACCCAAACAGUAUAUCAAAACAAACACAAUACAUAAGCUAGUUUUGAGCAUCAACAGCAGAGAAUACAAGAAUAGACAAUCCCACAUGAAGCUCAACAUACCAAAGCAAAAAACUGAAUCAUAACCCGCCAUCCCCAUCCCAUCAGUAGACAGAUGAUUUCAAAAAUGUUUAAGAUGCAAAACUGUAAAUGAGUAUGCUAAUUGGAUGCUUAAAAUUCACAUUAAUCAGCAGAGACUUACGAUGUCAACCUAAUUAGGCAAUCCUACUUCUAUUAUUGCUUCUGAUACUGAAAAAUUUAAUCAUCAUCUUCACAUCUAAAGGUAAUAGGCCUUAACAAACGAAUGAGCCAAUUUUAAUAAACAAAUUAAAAAAGUAACCACAAAAUACCUGUCAUAAUCUUUAGUAACCAAAUGCAGAAACUGGGCAUAAUUUAAGAGCAGAAGUGGAUUAUUGGGUUCCUCGGCAACACCCAUCUGGUAAAGAAGAUCUGUUCUAAAAUAGUCCAUGUAAUCAUCUGGUUCGAGCUUCACAGUUACUGGAGUUACAAAAUGCUGCAUUGUUUCAUGAUCAAGAAUCCUAUAUUCUGAUUCCUCUUGAAUUCUUAAAGCUUCGUCCAAUACUGAGUUCCACAAAUCCAAUUCCUCUUUAUUCAUUGGAAAUUGUUUACCUGAGGAGACCUCAGACAUCUCAUAAGGUAUGAAGCUAGGGUAUUGAAUUGAAGGCGAUGAUCUGCUGAAGCGCUUGUCCGCAUUCCCACUGGAAAUACGGCUCACUUUUUUGCCAUCACCAUCGUUACCAAUAUCAGAAAUUGAGAGUAGUAAAUUCUUCAUUGUCGAAGAAUCAAUCUCUGAUGUUUCUUGAUCCUUCUCCCCCGUCAAUGAAACAGUUUCUGUGAUGGUUUCAGAUGAUCCUGGCGAUAGACUAGCUGCAAACCCAACGUUAUUGGUCAUUGAAUGCACUGUAAAAUUAGCCAAAAGAAUCAUAACAUAGACCAUCAAAGUGGGUGUUCGUGAGAAAACUUGCUGAAAGAGCCAAACAAAUGAUGAAUUCAUUUCCCUUUGCAUCUUACUUAUAAUCUCUUUCAAGUCUUCACAAUAAAGACCCUCUCUUAUAUGCAAGGCACAGGCCUGAAGCUCUCUAAUGAUAAAUACUAGCGAAGAAAAUGCCUUAUUCACCGAACAGUAUGCAAAAUCCUCUGCAUCUCCAAAACCCUCUUUCCAUUUUUGCUUUCUCUUUAUCAUCCUCAACGAUAGAGGAAUACCAACACAAUUAGCUCUCUGUUCAAUGUUCACCCUAACAAUCUCUUCCCUCUCUGGCCAGUCCACUGGCUCUGGCCGGAUCCCAAGCAAAUUAUGCUCAAGCAAUUCAUACUUUGGAAGCAUAAAUUGCAUCGAAAACCCCAUGUUUACAUCUCUUACAGCAUACGCUGUCUCCUUAUUAUUUUGAUCAUGAUCAUGAUUAUCAACAUGAUCGUCCAUGAUAUCUAACCUUCGUGCUAAUUCUUCAGCUUGUUUUGCAAACUCGUCAUCCAAGAACUCAUUAAAAUUAGCACUGCAAGAUCUCUUUAUACUAUUUCCCCUAGAAACACACGACCCAAAACCCCAAUUCUUCAAUCGAAAAGUACGAUGGGGGUUGCUUUCAUUACGAGUUGUAAAUGAAGCAGAUGACAUAAAAGAGGCUGGCUUUUGAGAAAGUGCAUAGGGAACUAUAAUCUGUACACUAUUUUGAAUACUUGGCCCAAAAAUCAAUCCCAUUUCCAACUAGGAAACCUCAAAAUUUUUAUCAAGAAAAAACAAAA